rnacentral:lncRNA from 1 species
AUAUAUCAUCACACAAUCAUAGUACAACCAGCACACACAAGCCAUCAUCCUCCGUACAAGCCAGAAAAGUAAAUAAGAACAAUCACAAGAUUUACAUGGGCAUCAUGCCCUAAUCUUGAUUGAUCUUGACAUUAUAUAGCAUGGGAUGACUUAAUGGUGGUGGGUUACAACACACCACUUAUUUAAUCCAACCGGCAAUAUAAGUAAUGACGAUACUAUGUCUGGCAUGGUUGAUGUACCCGAACAUCUCAUGCCAACAAUUACUCUUGGACGUUUGCUUCACCAUUUCCUUUUUCUGCUUGAGUCCCAAGUGGUGGUUUUGGUUGUGCAUUCGGGUCAGGCAGUGGUUGUGGAUUCGGGUCUGGUAAUGGUUGUGGGUUUGGAUCAGGUUGCGGUCCUGGUAAUGGCUGAGGGUUUGGGUUUGGCUGUGGGUCCGGCAAUGGCUUCGGGUUUGGGUCUGGUAAUGGUUGCGGGUUUGGAUGAGGUUGUGGUCCUGGUAAUGGCUGAGGGUUUGGGUUUGGCUGUGGGUUCGGCAAUGGUAUCGGGUUUGGGUCUGGUAAUGGUUCUGGGUUUGGAUCAGGCUGUGGUCCUGGUAAUGGCUGAGGGUUUGGGUUUGGUUGUGGGUCCGGCAAUGGUUUUGGGUUUGGGUCUGGUAAUGGUUGUGGAUUUCGAUCAGGCUGCGGUCUUGGUAAUGGUUGAGGGUUUGGUUUUGCUCGUGGGUCUGGUAGUGGCCGCGGCUUUGUGUUUGGCUGUGGGUUCAUCAACUGUUGCAGGUUUUGUCCUGGCAAUAGUUGUGGAUUUGGGUCAGGNNNNNNNNNNGUUGUGGGUUUGGAUCAGGUUGCGGCCCUGGUAGUGGCUUAGGGUUUGGGUUUGGCUGUGGGUCCGGCAAUGGUUUUGGGUUUGGGUCUGGUAAUGGUUGUGGAUUUCGAUCAGGCUGCGGUCUUGGUAAUGGUUGAGGGUUUGGUUUUGCUCGUGGGUCUGGUAGUGGCCGCGGCUUUGUGUUUGGCUGUGGGUUCAUCAACUGUUGCAGGUUUUGUCCUGGCAAUAGUUGUGGAUUUGGGUCAGGGUGUGGUCCUGGUAAUGGUUGAGCGUUUGGAUCAGGUUGUGGAUCUAGCAGUGGUUGUGGGUUUGUAUGAGGUUUAGGCUCGGGUAGCGGUUGCGGCUUUGGGUCUGGUUGUGGUCCCGGCAAUGGUUGAGGGUUUGGAUCUGGCUGUUUUCCUGGUAGUGGUUCUGGAUUUGGGUUCGCCCGUGGGCCGUACUGAGGGUCUCUAGUGAUCAGGUUGUGCCUCCCGGCAGCAAGAGCAAACACUGGAAGAAGCAUAAGCAGCAACGGUGCUACGAGAAGAGAAGACGCGGAUGGGCGCUUCCUCAUCGUCAUGGCUAAGCUUGUGUUGGUACGAACUUGCAAGUGCGUGCGUCUCGAUCUUCCUAUUUAUAAGCGAAUUCAGCCAUCAAGGCUGGACAAGCAUGUACGUUGUUUACUCCAACUCUGAUUGGGCUUGUUAGCUUUGCCUUUUUGAAGAUGCGGGACUGCACGCCUCCGCUUAGUGCUCUAACCAGCAGCUAGCCACAAUAAAAAGUCAUUUAGAAAAGUUUUGAGUUAUCAUCAUAAAGAAAAAGUUUGUGUAGUUUUCGUCUGGAUAGAUGUGACAUUUUUCAGUUGAUCGUAGGAGAGCAACAUGCAGAAGCAUACAGUUGCCCAAGUUGUGAACAACCUGAUCACUUUCAGUAAUUCUGUUGAAUUCAUAGCAGGGUAGCAGAUGGCUGUGAGCAUGGAAUUUGUAAAUCAUGUAAUUUUUUUUAAAAUAAGAAAAAUCAUGUAAACACGUAUACAUGUUAUUUGCGUGUCCAAGAAGUUUAAUUAAGCCAUACACAGAUUUGUAGGCUACAUAAAAAAAAUCCAGCCCAAAUGCAAUAGAAAUAAGCCUAUUUUAAAUUAUGUAUUUGUCGUUUUCCCCUUUGUGUAGACUAUAUAUGAUUUUUUUUCAAAUAUAUUUUGUUGAAAUUUUGUAUGAACACACUAUACCUUUUUUAUUGAAAAUUUUGAGGUGCAAGAAUAAAGUUCUUGAUAAAAAAUAAAGAAGCCUGUACGAUGUAUUGUUGUACACAGGAAUAUCGUGGAUUCUAAACUUGAGGUUUGCAUGGAUGGAUUUUUUUUACGGAAUCUAGUUUAAAUGAGUCCUAUUGUUUCCCGUAUGAAUUCCUAUUCUAUGACUCAAACAACACAUACAGAAAAAUUUUCUAAGGAUUAGAUUCCUCCAAAAUUCUAUUAAAAGUUUAAAACCCCUUUGAAUCAAAGAAGCCUAUUCCCCCCAAAAUAAAGAAAAGAAUCAAAUGAGCUCGGGUGAACAGUAAAAUCAAAACUAAAUCAAUUUUUUUUUAAAAAAAUCCAAUUUUUUUUGGGAGAAAAAGUUCUAAGUGCUUGCAAAAAUUCGCCAUGAAAUCACAUUUCUAGAAGGCGUGGCAAAAAAAAAAAACAAAAUCAGUACUCUGAAAAAGCUACUUUCAAAAGCAUUUUGGAGCACUGAAUUUGUUUUUUUUGCCACGCUUUACAGGAAUGUGAUUUCAUGAUGAAUUUUUGCAAGCACUUAAAACUUUUGUUAAUGUUUCUCCCAAAAAAAAUUGGGAAUUUUUUGAAUUUUUUUUGAAUUUUUUUCGAUUUUACUGUUCACCAAGCUCAAAUGAGCUCGGGAGCAGAAAGGCACUUUCGAUCAAAGAAGCCUAUUUCGCAGCAAAGCUAGUGGCUGUCCUAUCGGACAGUGAUGCACCUUUAAGUACGCGGUUUCUAAUAAUCACGAUCAGUGCACGCCGUGCACAGUGCACUCAUUUCGGUUGUAGAUGUAACUUUCACAUUUCAUACACCAAUCACGAUCAGUUGCUUGUUGGCACGGGCGGAGCUCCGUAGGGGCAGACCUGGGCCAUGGCCCGCCCAGGAAUUUGACAAAAAAAGUUUUUACUACUAGUCGUCUUAGCCCAGCCCACUAGCCCACGCACGCACUGAAUAUCCCCCCAUCGGCCAUCGUCUCCUCGUCUCGCGCACGCUGCACGCACAGGCACACUCACGCCUUCCCCAAUUCCCCAUCCUCUCAGUCCCAGACUCAUGUAGGUUGUAGCCACGCCGCCGACGACUACCGACGUGGACAGGGAACACGUCCACACGGUCCACCGGAGCGCGCCGCCCGCCAUCUCUCGGAGCAACCGCCAUGGCAACGCCCGCCGGGAUCUCGCCUCGCCCCUGCCCUGCUCCCUCCUGCCGCCCAUCAUCCGCACACUUACANNNNNNNNNNNNNNNNNNNNNNNNNNNNNNNNNNNNNNNNNNNNNNNNNNNNNNNNNNNNNNNNNNNNNNNNNNNNNNNNNNNNNNNNNNNNNNNNNNNNNNNNNNNNNNNNNNNNNNNNNNNNNNNNNNNNNGCAAUAACCUGAUUUUGUUCAUUUCCAUACACCCAGUGAUCAGUCCUGCUAGUGAUAAAUAAUAGUCUGAUGAUCUGAUCUUACGCAAAUUUUAACAUAGGUAGUCGGGAAAGGAAAAUAAGACUCAGAGAAGAAGAAGAUCACUGCACAAUAAGAUGGAAGAUGAGAAUCUGGCUAAUAACUUGUUAGUUCACAUAGAUGGUGGAAUUCUAGAAAACUACAGCCACGAAGAUGUCAUUGCAGAUUUUAUAAACAAGAAGAUCGGAGAGUUGAUUGUAUGUGAGUAGGUCCAUGUCUAAUGUCUCUGACACUUUUGUAUUAUCUAACUCAAUAGUGAAACAUGGUUGAACUGUACUUUGGUACAUAUAUAUAUUAUAUAUAUACAUAUCUGCUAGCUCAAUCUUGUGACCUGGGUGCUUGUAAUAUGUCCUUAUGGGUAAGAAUUUAGAAAAAAUUGUGUUCUUCUUCAGUCUGGCCCGCCCAACUUUUUCGUUCAAGCUCCGCCACUGCUUGUUGGUGCACAUCCAAUGCUCUAGAAUAAAACAAAAAGUACUCCUAUAUACAAAACGUACUUUACCUAACCUACCGAUUGAAUCGUAUACAUAGAUGAAAAAGAAAAGACAUCCGUAGAGUCCCAAGUUACCUACCGAUUGAAUCGUAUGUAUAGAUGAAAAAGAAAAGACAUCCAUAGAGUACCAAGUUACCUACCGAUUGAAUCAUACAUAUAGACGAAAAAGAAAAGACAUGCAUAGAGUACCAAGUUAAAGACGAUAUGACCUCACAACUAGAUUGGGUUGGGUGAGUGGAGUGCCACUUUAAUCCUUGUCUGGAGCACGCGCUAUGAUAUUUCUUCAGAGGCGCUGAAGUGGGGAACAAGACUGAUAGAACAAACAACAAGUGAGAUAUUUUGAGCUUCACUAGGUUGGAGGCCUGGUGUGCUCAGAAUUUAUCAGGGUGUAUUCAGGUUGCAGCACUGCUGCCAAGGCAUUUCUCCAGCUUCGCUCUGAAGAUCUUUUGCUUUGCUUUGUUCCUCUGUUUGUUUGUAAUGAAGUUCCCGUGUUUUGUGAUGGUUGCAAGUUCCCUGUAGUCUUUAUAUAUUUGGCUCAAGGGUGCCUGAAAAUUUCAUAGUUAUGUUUAAAAAAAUGCCGUAGUUGUUAGUUUUUGGACCAUCUAUCUAAAUCUAUCAAAGACCCUGUUGCCCGAGCUAGCCAAUCAAAGUUGGGCCAUUUGCAUCAAGCUAGGUAGGAUGCGUCGCCGGAAAACCCAAAUCGCUAAUUAAGGAGUACUCUUUGCAAAGGUCACUCCUACCAUGUCGCAACUAGUGAGUUUUCCUUUUUUUGUCGAUUCGUUUAUUCAACACGUUUUAUCGGUUAAAACAUGCAUUCACAUCUUGAAUCGUUUUCUCCAUUGUAUUCCUCGCACUGAGAUCUUGAAAAUUAGAUCCGAUCUGAUAGGUUUUGAUGAACGUUUUACUUUACGAAAAAUACCGAACAAAAAACAAACCGGGAGCACAUUUUUUCCUUUCUGAAAAGGGCACAAUCGUGCCUCUCGUGUCGUUACAAAUCUUAUCUCUGUUCGUCGUUACAAAUCCUAUGAAUUGCUAUUCUAUCUUCACAACAUCCUAUACUCCCCUUGUGUCGUUACAAAUCUUAUCUCUGUUCGUCGUUUUUGCAUUGACAAUUCAGUAACAAUUGAGUUUUACCCCCUUGACUUUGUUGUGAAGGAUCUAGCCACUCGGACUCCUUAUGAGCCGCAGUAGCUACGGCCAGCUUUACUCCUUCUCCGGCGGCACCACCAACCACCAGGCGGUGCUCUCUAUGGACGUUGGAAACUUGUGGCAUCAGCGAUUAGGGCACCCCAGUGCUGCCUCCCUUUCCCGUUUGGCGAGCAGUUUUUAACCAAAUUGUAAUAAGCCAGUCCACCCCAUGGUACUUGUCAUGCAUGUCAAUUAGGCCACCAUGCUCUCCUUCCUUUUUCCAGAUUCUCUGUCAUUUACUACUUUUCCUUUUCAACUAGUGCACUAUGAUAUAUGAACCUCAACAAUUGCGAGUUUUUCCGGCUUCAAAUAUUAUUUGUUUGUCAUAGACGACUUCACUCACUUCCCUUGGAGCUUCCCGCUACACCAUAAGCCCCAUGCCGCUGCCACCCUUGAACGCUUUUACCAGUACGUGCUCAUACAAUUCCGUGUUUACAUACAGUGUGUCCAAUGUGAUAAUGGGGGCGACUUCCUCAACGUUCACCUAUGCACUUUCUGUUGGGGAACGUUGCAGAAAACAAAAAUUUUCCUACGGUUUCACCAAGAUCCAUCUAGGACUUCAUCUAGCAACGAGUAAUCGGAUUGCAUCUACGUACCUUGUAGAUCGCGAGUGGAAGCGUUCAAAGAACGGGGAUGAGGGAGUCGUACUCGACGUGAUCCAAAUCACCGGAGAUCCUAGCGCCGAACGGACGACACCUCCGCGUUCAACACACGUACGGUCAGCGUAACGUCUCCUUCCUCUUGAUCCAGCAAGGGGCAAGGAGAGGUUGAGGAAGAUGGCUCCAGCAGCAGCACGACGGCGUGGUGGUGAUGGAGCUGCAGUACUCCGGCAGGGCUUCGCCAAGCUCUAUGGAGGAGGAGGAUGUGUUGGAGAGGGAGAGGGAGGCACCAAAGGCAAAGGUAAGAGGUCCUCCAUCCUCCCCACUAUAUAUAGGGGGGCCUAGGGGGGGACGCCGGCCCUAGGAGAUGCAAUCUCCUAGGGGGGCGGCGGCCAAGGGGUGGGGGACUUGCCCCCCAAGCAAGGGGGCGUCCCCCCCCUUUAGGGUUUCCCCCACCCUAGGCGCAUGGGCCCUAGGGGAAGUGGCGCCCCAGCCCACUUUGGGCUGGAUCCCUUCCCACUUCAGCCCAUGGGGCCCUCCGGGAUAGGUGGCCCCACCCGGUGGACCCCCGGGACCCUUCCGGUGGUCCCGGUACAAUACCGGUGACCCCGAAACUUGUCCCGAUAGCCGAAAUAGCACUUCCUAUAUAUAAUUAUUUACCUCCGGACCAUUCCGGAACUCCUCGUGAUGUCCGGGAUCUCAUCCGGGACCCCGAACAACAUCCGGGUUACUGCAUAUACAUAUCCCUAUAACCCUAGCGUCACCGAACCUUAAGUGUGUAGACCCUACGGGUUCGGGAGACAUGUAGACAUGACCGAGAUCGCUCUCCGGUCAAUAAACAAUAGCGGGAUCUGGAUACCCAUGUUGGCUCCCACAUGCUCCUCGAUGAUCUCAUCGGAUGAACCACGAUGUCGAGGAUUCAAGCAACCCCGUAUACAAUUCCCUUCGUCAGUCGGUAUGUUACUUGCCCGAGAUUCGGUCGUCGGUAUCCCAAUACCUCGUUCAAUCUCGUUACCGGCAAGUCACUUUACUCUUACCGUAAUGCAUGAUCCCGUGACCAGACACUUGGUCACUUUGAGCUCAUUAUGAUGAUGCAUUACCGAGUGGGCCCAGUGAUACCUCUUCGUCAUACGGAGUGACAAAUUCCAGUCUUGAUCCGUGUCAACCCAACAGACACUUUCGGAGAUACCCGUAGUAUACCUUUAUAGUCACCCAGUUACUUGUGACGUUUGGUACACCCAAAGCACUCCUACGGUAUCCGGGAGUUACACGAUCUCAUGGUCUAAGGAAAAGAUACUUGACAUUGGAAAACUCUAGCAAAUGAACUAUACGAUCUUGUGCUAUGUUUAGGAUUGGGUCUUGUCCAUCACAUCAUUCUCCUAAUGAUAUGAUCUCGUUAUCAAUGACAUUCAAUGUCCAUAGUCAGGAAACCAUGACUAUCUUUGAUCAACGAGCUAGUCAACUAGAGGCUUACUAGGGACAUGUUGGUGUCUAAGUAUUCACACAUGUAUUACAAUUUCCGGAUAACACAAUUAUAGCAUGAAUAAAAGACAAUUAUCAUGAACAAGGAAAUAUAAUAAUAAUGCUUUUAUUAUUGCCUCUAGGGCAUAUUUCCAACAGUCUCCCACUUGCACUAGAGUCAAUAAUCUAGUUACAUUGUGAUGAAUCGAACACCCAUGGAAUUCUGGUGUUGAUCAUGUUUUGCUCUAGGGAGAGGUUUAGUCAACGGAUCUGCUACAUUCAGGUCCAUAUGUACUUUACAAAUAUCUAUGUCUCCAUCUUGAACAUUUUCACGAAUGGAGUUGAAGCGACGCUUGAUGUGCCUCGUCUUCUUGUGAAAUCUGGGCUCCUUGGCAAGUGCAAUAGCUCCAUGUUGUCACAGAAGAGCUUCAUAGGCCCCGAUGCAUUGGGUAUGACUCCUAGGUCGGUGAUGAACUCCUUCACCCAAAUUGCUUCAUGCGCUGCCUCCGAGGCUGCCAUGUACUCCGCUUCACAUGUAGAUCCCGCCACGACGCUCUUCUUGCAACUGCACCAGCUUACUGCCCUACCAUUCAAAAUAUACACGUAUCCGGUUUGUGACUUAGAGUCAUCCAGAUCUGUGUCGAAGCUAGCAUCGACGUAACCAUUUACGACGAGCUCUUCGUCACCUCCAUAGACGAGAAACAUUUCCUUAGUCCUUUUCAGGUACUUCAGGAUAUUCUUGACCGCUGUCCAGUGUUCCUUGCCGGGAUUACUUUGGUACCUACCUACCAAACUUACGGCUAGGUUUACAUCAGGUCUGGUACACAGCAUGGCAUACAUAAUAGAACCUAUGGCUGAGGCAUAGGGGAUGAUACUCAUCUCUUCUAUAUCUUCUGCCGUGGUCGGACAUUGAGCUGAGCUCAAUUUCAUACCUUGCAACACAGGCAAGAACCCCUUCUUAGACUGAUCCAUAUUGAAUUUCUUCAAUAUCUUAUCAAGGUAUGUGCUUUGUGAAAGACCUAUGAGGCGUCUUGAUCUAUCUCUGUAGAUCUUGAUGCCUAAUAUAUAAGCAGCUUCUCCAAGGUCCUUCAUUGAAAAACUCUUAUUCAAGUAGGCCUUAAUGCUGUCCAAAAGUUCUAUAUCAUUUCCCAUCAAAAGUAUGUCAUCUACAUAUAAUAUGAGAAAUGCUACAGAGCUCCCACUCACUUUCUUGUAAACACAGGCUUCUCCAUAAGUCUGCGUAAACCCAAACGCUUUGAUCAUCUCAUCAAAGCGAAUGUUCCAACUCCGAGAUGCUUGCACCAGCCCAUAAAUCGAGCGUUGGAGCUUGCACACCUUGUCAGCAUACUUAGGAUCGACAAAACCUUACGGCUGCAUCAUAUACCAUUCUUCCUUAAGGAAACCAUUAGGAAUGCCGUUUUGACGUCCAUUUGCCAUAUUUCAUAAUCAUAGAAUGCGGCAAUUGCUAACAUGAUUCGGACGGACUUCAGCUUCGCUACCGGUGAGAAAGUCUCAUCGUAGUCAACCCCUUGAACUUGUCGAUAACCCUUAGCGACAAGCCGAGCUUUAUAGAUGGUCACACUACCAUCCGCGUCUGUCUUCUUCUUAAAGAUCCAUUUAUUUUCUAUGGCUUGCCGCUCUACGGCCAAGUCAGUCAAAGUCCAUACUUCGUUUUCAUACAUGGAUCCUAUCUCGGAUUUCAUGGCUUCCAGCCAUUUGUCAGAAUCCGGGCCCGCCAUCGCUUCUUCAUAGUUUGAAGGUUCACCGUUGUCUAACAACAUGAUUUCCAAGACAGGGUUGCCGUACCAAUCUGGUGCGGAACGUGUCCUUGUGGACCUUCGAAUUUCAGUAGGAGCUUGAUCAGAAGUAUCUUGAUCAUCAUCAUUAACUUCCUCUCUAGUCGGUGCAGGCACCUCAGGAACAUUUUCUUGAGUUGCGCCAUUUUCCGGUUCAAGAGGUAAUACUUCAUCAAGUUCUACUUUCCUCCCAUUUACUUCUUUCGAGAGAAACUCCUUCUCUAGAAAGGAUCCAUUCUUGGCAACAAAGAUCUUGCCUUCGGAUCUGAGGUAGAAGGUAUACCCAAUAGUUUCUUUAGGGUAUCCUAUGAAGACGCAUUUUUCCGACUUGGGUUCGAGCUUUUCAGGUUGAAGUUUCUUGACAUAAGCAUCGCAUACCCAAACUUUUAGAAACGAUAGCUUAGCUUUCUUCCCAAACCAUAAUUCAUACGGUGUCGUCUCAACGGAUUUCGACGGAGCCCUAUUUAAAGUGAAUGCGGGAGUCUCUAAAGCAUAGCCCCAAAAAGAUAGCGGUAAAUCGGUAAGAGACAUCAUAGAUCACACCAUAUCUAAUAGAGUGCGAUUACGACGUUCGGACACACCAUUACGCUGAGGUGUUCCAAGCGGCGUGAGUUGUGAAACUAUUCCAUAUUUUCUUAAGUGUGUGCCAAACUCGUGACUCAAGUAUUCUCCUUCACGAUCUGAUCGCAGGAACUUGAUUUUCCUGUCACGUUGAUUCUCAACCUCACUCUGAAAUUCCUUGAACUUUUCAAAGGUCUCAGACUUGUGUUUCAUUAAGUAGACAUACCCAUAUAUACUCAAGUCAUCAGUGAGGGUGAGAACAUAACGCCACCGUGAGCCUCAACAGUCAUUGGACCGCACACAUCAGUAUGUAUGAUUUCCAAUAAGUUGGUUUCUCGCUCCAUUGUUCCUGAGAACGGAGUCUUGGUCAUUUUACCCAUGAGGCAUGAUUCGCACAUGUCAAAUGAUUCGUAAUCAAGAGACUCUAAAAGUCCAUCAGCAUGGAGCUUCUUCAUGCGUUUGACACCUAUGUGACCAAGGCGGCAGUGCCACAAGUAUGUGGGACUAUCAUUAUCAAUCUUACAUCUUUUGGUACUCACACUAUGAACAUGUGUAGCAUUACGCUCGAGAUUCAUUAAGAAUAAACCAUUCACCAUCGGAGCAUGACCAUAAAACAUAUCUCUCAUAUAAAUAGAACAACCAUUAUUCUCGGAUUUAAAUGAGUAGCCAUCUCGAAUUAAACGAGAUCCUGAUACAAUGUUCAUGCUCAAAGCUAGCACUAAAUAACAAUUAUUAAGGUUUAAAACUAAUCCCGAAGGUAAAUGUAGAGGUAGCGUGCCGACGGCGAUCACAUUGACCUUGGAACCAUUCCCGACGCGCAUCGUCACCUCGUCCUUCGCCAGUCUCCGCUUAUUCCGCAGCUCCUGUUUUGAGUUACAAAUGUGAGCAACCGCACCGGUAUCAAAUACCCAGGAGCUACUACGAGUACUGGUAAGGUACACAUCAAUUACAUGUAUAUCACAUAUACCUUUCGUGAUGCCGGCCUUCUUGUCCGCUAAGUAUUUGGGGCAGUUUCGCUUCCAGUGACCACUUCCCUUGCAAUAAAAGCACUUAGUCUCGGGCUUGGGUCCAUUCUUUGGCUUCUUCCCGGCAGCUUGCUUGCCGGGCGCGGCAACUCCCUUGUCGUCCUUCUUGAAGGCUUUCUUACCCUUGCCCUUCUUGAACUUAGUGGUUUUAUUCACCAUCAACACUUGAUGUUCCUUUUUGACUUCUACCUCAGCUGAUUUCAGCAUUGCAAAUACGUCAGGAAUGGUCUUUUCCAUCCCCUGCAUAUUGAAGUUUAUCACAAAGCUCUUGUAGCUCGGUGGAAGCGACUGAAGGAUUCUGUCAAUGACCGUGUCAUCCGGGAGAUUAACUCCCAGCUGAGUCAAGCGGUUAUGCAACCCAGACAUAAUGAGUAUGUGCUCACUGACAGAACUGUUUUCCUCCAUCUUACAGCUGAAGAACUUGUCGGAGACUUGAUAUCUCUCGACCCGGGCAUGAGCUUGGAAAACCAUUUUCAGCUCUUCGAACAUCUCAUAUGCUCCGUGUCUCUCAAAACGCUUUUGGAGCCCCGGCUCUAAGCUGUAAAGCAUGCCGGACUGAACGAGGGAGUAGUCAUCGGUACGUGCCUGCCAAGCGUUCAUAACGUCUUGUUCUGCAGGGAGAACAGGUGUGUCACCUGGCGGUGCUUGUAGGACAUAAUCUUUCUUGGCAGCUAUGAGGAUGAUCCUCAGGUUUCGGACCCAGUCCGUGUAGUUGCUGCCAUCGUCUUUCAGCUUGGUUUUCUCUAGGAACGCGUUGAAGUUGAGGACUACGUUGGCCAUUUGAUCUACAAGACAUAUUGUAAAUUUUUUAGACUAAGUUCAUGAUAAUUAAGUUCAUCUAAUCAAAUUAUUCAAUGAACUCCCACUUAGAUAGACAUCCCUCCAGUAAUCUAAGUAUAACAUGAUCCGAGUUAACUAGGACGUGUCCGAUCAUCACGUAAGACGGACUAGUCAACAUCGGUGAACAUCUUCAUGUUGAUCGUAUCUUCUAUAUGACUCAUGCUCGACCUUUCGGUCUUCUGUGUUCCGAGGCCAUGUCUGUACAUGCUAGGCUCGUCAAGUCAACCUAAGUGUUUGCAUGUGUAAAUCUGUCUUACACCCGUUGUAUGUGAACGUUGGAAUGAAUCUAACACCCGAUCAUCACGUGGUGCUUCGAAACAACGAACUGUCGCAAUGGUGCACAGUUAGGAGAAACACUUUCUUGAAAUUAUUAUGAGGGAUCAUCUUAUUUACUAUCGUUGUUCUAAGUAAACAAGAUGCAGAAACAUGAUAAACAUCACAUGCAAUCAAAUAGUGACAUGAUAUGGCCAAUAUCACAUAGCUCCUUUGAUCUCCAUCUUGGGGCUCCAUGAUCAUCUUGUCACCAGCAUGACACCAUGAUCUCCAUCAUCAUGAUCUCCAUCACAGUGUCUCCAUGAAGUUGCUCGCCAACUAUUACUUCUACUACUAUGGCUAACACGUUUAGCAAUAAAGUAAAGUAAUUUACAUGGCGUUUCUCAAUGAAACGCAGGUCAUACAAAAAAUAAAGACAACUCCUAUGGCUCCUGCCGGUUGUCAUACUCAUCGACAUGCAAGUCGUGAUUCCUAUUACAAUAGCAUGAGCAUCUCAUACAUCACAUGUAUAUCAUUCAUCAUUCAUCACAACUUUGGCCAUAUCACAUCACAGAACACUUGCUGCAAAAACAAGUUAGACGUCCUCUAAUUGUUGUUGCAAGUUUUACGUGGCUGCAAUAGGGUUCUAGCAAGAACGUUUUCUUACCUACGUGAAAGCCACAACAUGAUUUGUCAACUUCUAUUUACCCUUCAUAAGGACCCUUUUCAUCGAAUCCGCUCCAACUAAAGUGGGAGAGACAGACACCCGCCAGCCACCUUAUGCAACUUGUGCAUGUUAGUCGGUGGAACCGGUCUCACGUAAGCGUACGUGUAAGGUUGGUCCGGGCCGCUUCAUCCCACAAUACCGUUGAAGCAAGAUAAGACUAGUAGCGGCAAGAAAGUUGACAACAUCUACGCCCACAACAAAUUGUGUUCUACUCGUGCAAAGAGAACUACGCAUAGACCUAGCUCAUGAUGCCACUGUUGGGGAACGUUGCAGAAAACAAAAUUUUUCCUACGGUUUCACCAAGAUCCAUCUAGGAGUUCAUCUAGCAACGAGUGAUCGGAUUGCAUCUACGUACAUUGUAGAUCGCGAGCGGAAGCGUUCAAAGAACGGGGAUGAGGGAGUCGUACUCGACGUGAUCCAAAUCACCGGAGAUCCUAGCGCCGAACGGACGGCACCUCCGCGUUCAACAGACGUACGGUCAGCGUAACGUCUCCUUCCUCUUGAUCCAGCAAGGGGCAAGGAGAGGUUGAGGAAGAUGGCUCCAGCAGCAGCACGAUGGCGUGGUGGUGAUGGAGCUGCAGUACUCCGGCAGGGCUUCGCCAAGCUCUAUGGAGGAGGAUGUGUUGGAGAGGGAGAGGGAGGCACCAAAGGCAAAGGUAAGAGGUCCUCCAUCCUCCCCACUAUAUAUAGGGGGGCCUGGGGGGGGGGGCGCCGGCCCUAGGAGAUGCAAUCUCCUAGGGGGGCGGCGGCCAAGGGGUGGGGGACUUGCCCCCAAGCAAGGGGGCGCCCCCCCCUUUAGGGUUUCCCCCACCCUAGGCGCAUGGGCCCUAAGGGAAGUGGCGCCCCAGCCCACUUUGGGCUGGAUCCCUUCCCACUUCAGCCCAUGGGGCNNNNNNNNNNNNNNNNNNNNNNNNNNNNNNNNNNNNNNNNNNNNNNNNNNNNNNNNNNNNNNNNNNNNNNNNNNNNNNNNNNNNNNNNNNNNNNNNNNNNNNNNNNNNNNNNNNNNNNNNNNNNNNNNNNNNNNNNNNNNNNNNNNNNNNNNNNNNNNNNNNNNNNNNNNNNNNNNNNNNNNNNNNNNNNNNNNNNNNNNNNNNNNNNNNNNNNNNNNNNNNNNNNNNNNNNNNNNNNNNNNNNNNNNNNNNNNNNNNNNNNNNNNNNNNNNNNNNNNNNNNNNNNNNNNNNNNNNNNNNNNNNNNNNNNNNNNNNNNNNNNNNNNNNNNNNNNNNNNNNNNNNNNNNNNNNNNNNNNNNNNNNNNNNNNNNNNNNNNNNNNNNNNNNNNNNNNNNNNNNNNNNNNNNNNNNNNNNNNNNNNNNNNNNNNNNNNNNNNNNNNNNNNNNNNNNGGAAGAUGGCUCCAGCAGCAGCACGAUGGCGUGGUGGUGAUGGAGCUGCAGUACUCCGGCAGGGCUUCGCCAAGCUCUAUGGAGGAGGAUGUGUUGGAGAGGGAGAGGGAGGCACCAAAGGCAAAGGUAAGAGGUCCUCCAUCCUCCCCACUAUAUAUAGGGGGGCCUAGGGGGGGGGGCGCCGGCCCUAGGAGAUGCAAUCUCCUAGGGGGGCGGCGGCCAAGGGGUGGGGGACUUGCCCCCAAGCAAGGGGGCGCCCCCCCCUUUAGGGUUUCCCCCACCCUAGGCGCAUGGGCCCUAAGGGAAGUGGCGCCCCAGCCCACUUUGGGCUGGAUCCCUUCCCACUUCAGCCCAUGGGGCCCUCCGGGAUAGGUGGCCCCACCCGGUGGACCCCCGGGACCCUUCCGGUGGUCCCGGUACAAUACCGGUGACCCCGAAACUUGUCCCGAUAGCCGAAAUAGCACUUCCUAUAUAUAAUUCUUUACCUCCGGACCAUUCUGGAACUCCUCGUGAUGUCCGGGAUCUCAUCCGGGACCCCGAACAACAUUCGGGUUACUGCAUAUACAUAUCCCUAUAACCCUAGCGUCACCGAACCUUAAGUGUGUAGACCCUACAGGUUCGGGAGACAUGUAGACAUGACCGAGAUCGCUCUCCGGUCAAUAACCAACAGCGGGAUCUGGAUACCCAUGUUGGCUCCCACAUGCUCCUCGAUGAUCUCAUCGGAUGAACCACGAUGUCGAGGAUUCAAGCAACCCCGUAUACAAUUCCCUUCGUCAGUCGGUAUGUUACUUGCCCGAGAUUCGAUCGUCGGUAUCCCAAUACCUCGUUCAAUCUCGUUACCGGCAAAUCACUUUACUCUUACCGUAAUGCAUGAUCCCGUGACCAGACACUUGGUCACUUUGAGCUCAUUAUGAUGAUGCAUUACCGAGUGGGCCCAGUGAUACCUCUCCGUAAUACGGAGUGACAAAUCCCAGUCUUGAUCCGUGUCAACCCAACAGACACUUUCAGAGAUACCCGUAGUAUACCUUUAUAGUCACCCAGUUACGUUGUGACGUUUGGUACACCCAAAGCACUCCUACGGUAUCCGGGAGUUACACGAUCUCAUGGUCUAAAGGAAAAGAUACUUGACAUUGGAAAACUCUAGCAAACGAACUAUACGAUCUUGUGCUAUGUUUAGGAUUGGGUCUUGUCCAUCACAUCAUUCUCCUAAUGAUGUGAUCUCGUUAUCAAUGACAUCCAAUGUCCAUAGUCAGGAAACCAUGACUAUCUGUUGAUCAACGAGCUAGUCAACUAGAGGCUUACCGGGGACAUGUUGGUGUCUAAGUAUUCACACAUGUAUUAUGAUUUCCGGAUAACACAAUUAUAGCAUGAAUAAAAGACAAUUAUCAUGAACAAGGAAAUAUAAUAAUAAUGCUUUUAUUAUUGCCUCUAGGGCAUAUUUCCAACACUUUCCUCUACGAGGCAUCACCCUUUGUCACUCUUGCCCGCACACCUCCCCUCAAAACGAGAAGGCCGAGCACGGCAUUCGCUCCAUGAACGACAUUAUGCGCACACUCCUCCAAGCUCACAUGCCACCUUCGUUUUGGGUCGACGCCCUCAACACCACCACAUACUUACUGAAUUUCGCCCAUCCCGAGCCAUCGACCACAUCCCACCCUACUACGCCCUCUUUGGUACCUCUCCAGAUUACAGCUCCCUACGCACGUUCGUCUGCCUCUGCUACCAAAACCUCUAUGCCACUAUGCCCUACAAAUUAGCUCCCCGCUCCGUUCGCUGCAUUCUCCUCGGUAUGCCACUUGAGCAUAAAGGCUACAGGUGCCUGGACCUCUCCAAUCGAUGACUCAUUACCUCUAGACAUGUCAUUUUUUGACGAAAACACCUUCCCAUUCAUUGAUGCCCCGAGCGGCCACACGCCUGCACGAGCAGGGUCUGCUCCGGCCGCAGAAAAUCAAGCACCCACCUCCAUCCCCCUCGGAUCACCCACUCCACCAGUCACGCACCACCUCCCAUCCCCAAGCAUGCAGCCCGACCCCACCUCCCAAACCCAUGCAGUGAUUCACCCAUCACCUGCAUGCGGCGCGCCUCCCCUCGUGUCGACUCCACGCCUAGAUGCAGUAGCCCGCCACUUACGCCUCUGCAUGCAGCGCCCCUCACUCUAUGCCGCCCACGCAUGUAGUACGAUCCCACCCUGAGUCGUGCCGAUUUUACCUGCCAAAAACUUGCAUGCCAGGCGCACCUGCGCAAAGUCCAGUUUUCUGCAGCCAAAGAAGCUUCUGACCGUCGCUACCUCUCCCGCCCCCAUCUCUCCUAUUCCCGCAAACUACAAAGAAGCUCUCAAAGACCCCAACUGGUACAAUGUUAUGCUUGAAGAAUUUAACGCUUUGUUGCAAAGCAAAACGUGGUCUUUGGUUGCUUGCUCUGCAGGUGUCAACUUGGUGUCUGGGAAGUGGAUAUUCCGCCACAAGCUUCAUCUCGACGGCUCCCUCGCUCGGUACAAGGCGUGUUGGGUACUUCGUGGCUUCACAAAGCAGCCUGGCAUUGACUACGGGGAGACCUUCAGCCCCGUGUGGUGAAACCGGCCACCAUCCGCGUCAUCCUCAGUGUCGCCAUCAGUAACCGUUGGGCCAUUAACCAGCUGGACAUGAAGAACCCCUUCCUCCACGGCACUCUCGAUGAGCUCGUCUACAGUCAGCCGCCGGCUAGCUUCGUCGACACCGCACACCCCUCGACCAUGUGCAAACUCCAAAAGUCCUUGUAUGACUUAAGCAGGCUCCUCGUGCGUGGUUCCAGCGGUUCACCACAUUCCUUCUCUCGCUCGGCUUCACGGUGUCAAGAUCCGACACAUCCCUAUUUAUUCUCCGCCGUGGCACCUCAGUGGCAUACCUCUUGCUAUAUGUUGACGAUAUCAUUCUCACCGCUAGCUCCUCCGGGUUACUCACCAUCGUUACCGCCGCUCUCACCUCUGAGUUCUCCAUGGCGAACCUCAGCUCGCUCCACCACUUCCUUGGCGUCAAUGUUCAGUGCAGCCCCACUGGUUUGUUUCUUUCCGAGCAACAGUAUGCGCUCGAGAUCCUUGAUCGCGCCUCCAUGCUCAACUGCAAACCCAUCACUACCCCCGUCGACACCAAAGCAAAGCUCGCCACCUCGCCACCUCAGCUAACGACUCUGCUCCUGACCCAUCCCUCUUCCAUAGUCUCGCCGGUGCCCUGCAGUACCUCACGCUCAUGCGCCCGGACAUAGCCUACACCGUCCAGCAGGUGUGCCUCGUCAUGCACUCGCCGCGCAUGCUACACGCCGCCCUCCUCAAAUGUAUCAUGCGUUAUCUGCGUGGUACCACCCACCUUGGCCUUCAUAUUCGUCUGUCUGCUUCAUCCCAGCUCAUGUCUUACACAGACGCCGACUGGGCCGGUUGUCCCGACACCGUACCUGACGCUCGAUGUCUGGCUACUACAUGUACAUCGGUGACAACCUCGUCUCCUGGUCUUCGAAGCGACAAACCACCUUGUCGCGAUCGAGUGCGGAGGCAGAGUACCGAGCUGUCGCCAACGCGGUCACGGAGUCGUGUUGGCUACGAAGCUUCUUCAGGAUAUCGGAUGGCCUCCAUGGUGCUACCACUGUUUACUGAGACAACGUAUCGGUGACUGAAGGAAAUAUGCCCUAGAGGCAAUAAUAAAGUUAUUAUUUAUUUCCUUAUAUCAUGAUAAAUGUUUAUUAUUCAUUCUAGAAUUGUAUUAACGGAAACAUAAUACAUGUGUGAAUACAUAGACAAACAGAGUGUCACUAGUAUGCCUCUACUUGACUAGCUCGUUGAUCAAAGAUGGUUAUGUUUCCUAACCAUAGACAUGAGUUGUCAUUUGAUUAACGGGAUCACAUCAUUAGGAGAAUGAUGUGAUUGACUUGACCCAUUCCGUUAGCAUAGCACUUGAUCGUUUAGUUUGUUGUUAUUGCUUUCUUCAUGACUUAUACAUGUUCCUAUGAUUAUGAGAUUAUGCAACUCCCGUUUACCAGAGGAACACUUUGUGUGCUACCAAACGUCACAACGUAACUGGGUGAUUAUAAAGGUGCUCUACAGGUGUCUCCGAAGGUACUUGUUGGGUUGGCGUAUUUCGAGAUUAGGAUUUGUCACUCCGAUUGUCGGAGAGGUAUCUCUAGGCCCUAUCGGUAAUGCACAUCACUUAAGCCUUGCAAGCAUUGCAACUAAUGAGUUAGUUGCGGGAUGAUGUUUUACGGAACGAGUAAAGAGACUUGCCGGUAACGAGAUUGAACUAGGUAUUGAGAUACCGACGAUCGAAUCUCGGACAAGUAACAUACCGAUGACAAAGGAAAUAACGUAUGUUGUUAUGCGGUCUGACCGAUAAAGAUCUUCGUAGAAUAUGUGGGAGCCAAUAUGAGCAUCCAGGUUCCGCUAUUGGUUAUUGACCGGAGACAUGUCUCGGUCAUGUCUACAUAGUUCUCGAACCUGUAGGGUCCGCACGCUUAAAGUUUCGGUGACGAUUGUAUUAUGAGUUUAUGUGAUUUGAUGUACCGAAGGUAGUUUGGAGUCCCGGAUGAGAUCGGGGACAUGACGAGGAGUCUCAAAAUGGUCGAGACGUAAAGAUCGAUAUAUUGGACGACUAUAUUCGGACAUCGGAAAGGUUCCGAGUGAUUCGGGUAUUUUCGGGAGUACCGGGAGUUACGGGAAUACGAGGAAGAAGUAAUGGGCCUCAUGGACCAAGUGGUGGAAGAGAGGAGGCAGGGCGCGCGGCCCUCCUAGCCCAAACCGAAUUGGACUAGGGGGCCGGCCCCCCUUUCCUCCUUUUCCUCCUUCUCCUUCCUUCUCCUUCUCCUCCUUCCUUUCCUCCUCCUAGUAGGAGUAGGAAAGGGGAGUCCUACUCCUACUAGGAGGAGGACUCCUCCUCCUGGCGCGCCCAUAGAGGGCCGGUCGGCCUCCCCCCUUGCUCCUUUAUAUACAGGGGCAGGGGGGCACCUCUAGACACACAAGUUGAUCUUCGUGAUCGUUCCUUAGCCGUGUGUGGUGCCCCCUUCCACCAUAUUCCACCUCGGUCAUAUCGUAGCGGUGCUUAGGCGAAGCCCUGCGUCAGUAGAACAUCAUCACCGUCAUCACGCCGUCGUGCUGACGAAACUCUCCCUCAACACUCGGCUGGAUCGGAGCUCGAGGGACGUCACCGAGUUGAACGUGUGAGAACUCGGAGGUGCCGUACGUUCGGUACUUGGAUCGGUCGGAUCGGGAAGACGUACGACUACUUCCUCUACGUUGUGUCAACACUUCCGUUGCUGGUCUACGAGGGUACGUAGACGACACUCUCCCCUCUUAUUGCUAUGCAUCACCAUGUUCUUGCGUGUGCGUAGGAAAUUUUUUGAAAUUACUACGUUAUCCAACAAUGACGUACCUCUCCACCAACCCGGUACAACACCAACGCACCAAGCACGUGGAGAUUGAUCUUCAUUUCGUGCGCGACCGCGUUGUCUUCGGAGAUGUUCGUGUUCUGCAUGUUCCGGCAACCUCCCAGUUUGCCGACGUUUUCACCAAGGGGAUACCAACCGGCGUCUUGACAGAGUUCCGGUCCAGCCUCAAUGUCGUCGAAGACCCCGUUGCGGCUGUGGGGGGCUGCUGGAAUUGUAAAACGCCUCCUGCAUGUACAUUACCGGGUCCCUCGGCUGGACAGAUCGGCUCGCGCAAGUAGCAUGGGACACCUGCGUCUGUUACACACGAUCCCCUUCUCCGUUGCUUGUAGCUGCUGUACCUAGGCGUAUAUAUAUAACUCUGUACAAUCUGGAAUAGACACGGUGAAGAUCACCUUUCAACUGUUCGCACUGUGCGGCCAAACCUUGUUUGGCUGGGACUGACAAAUGAAAAUGAUGCACCCGAGCACAUCCAGAAGGAUCUGAACGCUCGCAGUCCAAACCAGCUUAUCGGCAUUGGUACAGAGUUGAGGCAAAACCGAGCAGUGAAGCAAGCUCCAGCAUUUUCAACAUGAAGGAAACGAAAAAGACGAAACAGGCUCCAACAUUCUCGUCAAAAAAGAUAAGAAAAGGAAAAAAGAAACAGGCUCCAGCAUUCUUGACACAAAAGAAAUGAAGAAGGAAAACGAAACAGGCUCAGGCAUUCUUGACACAAAAGAAAAGAAAAAGGAAAAGGAGAAAGGCUCCAAUAUUCUUGACAAAAUAGAGAAGCAAAAGAAAAAGGAAUCAGGCACAAGCAUCCUCGACACAGAAGAAAAGAAAAGGGAAAAGGAAAUUGGAUCCAGCAUUCUCGAUAAAAAGGAAGAGAAACAGGAAACAGGUUCAACCAUUCUCGACAAAAAGGAAAAGAAAAAGAAAACAGGCUCCGACAUUUUGGACAAAAGAGAAAAGAACAAGGAAACGAAAACAGGCUCCAGCAUUGAUCUCGACAAGAAAGAAAAGAAAAAAAUUUGAAAAGCAAGCUCCGUCAGAACGGUAACAGUAGCACCAAUGCUAAAGAAGAGCAAAUUGAACAGUAGCACCAAGGUGAAGGAAGCUCAAGACCGAUGAGAUGUCCUGGUUUCUAUAUAUCCAAUUAAUAUACCAUAUUUUAAUUAUUGUAACAAUAUGAUUGUAUUUUUUGUGAUGUAAUGAGUCGUUUGAUUCGAACCUCUGUUUGUUCAGUUUCUGCUUGCUGCUGUUGUAAUCACAAACCGUCAUGUCAAAUAAAUGGAGUGAAUAGCAAAAAACUACCAUAUUACGGGCUAUCGUUCCGGAAAACUAUCGCUUGUUUUAAUUUUUCAAAAAACUACCACAAAAGUGGCUGGCUGUUCCAAAAAACCCAAGUGGCCGAACGGUUAAGUUUUAACUGGGGUUAUGACAUGUGGGGCCCGCCCGUCAGGGUUUUGUCGGCCACAGUGCUCACGGCGCGCGGGUGACGGCCGUUAGGGCGCACGGCCCGUCCCGACGAGGUCAAAAUGGAUCCGGCCCUCACUCUGUCUCCCUCUCGCUCACUCACUCUCUCCCCCCUCACUCUCACUCUCCCCCCUCGCUCUGUUUCCCCUGGCCGAGCUCUCCAUCGUCGCUGACCACCUCAGUUCCUCGUCGCCGGCCAGGAUGCCUUCUUGGAAUGAUGGGGAUGAGAGCUCCGACGAUAGCAUGGGGGGCAACCUGAUGGACAUGGAGUACUUUGUAAGCCUCAUCGUCCUCCUCUCUGUCAUUAUCUAGGGUUAGGGUUGAAUCGAUUUGGGAAUGAGGGUUGAUGAGCUGUAUAUUUGUAUGCAUGGAUUCAUUUGGUUUGGUUAUCUAUUAGUUUUGAUCUAGGGUAUGGAUGGCACUGUGAUGUCUGAUCUGACCUUGAGCAAGGCAAAGCUUGACUCAAGUUGAACUAGUUGAUGCAUUGGUUCUGAUCUACCUUUUACUGCAUGUAGGACACACCUGACACCAUCCCUGAGCCACUCUGGUGUGGUGCUCCCAUGGAGGAAGUUGCCAAGUGUACUCUGCAUGAUAUGAAGCCUAGGAAGUGUGUUGCUUUUGAAGGUGCUAAGACUGGGAGGAGGUUCUAUGGAUGCCCUGUUCAGGUGAGUAAUUGAGUAUCCUGGGUGGAUUCAGUUAUGCCUAGUGGAUUCAGUUAUUCCUAGUGGUUACUGAAUUUGUACAUUAACUCUAUUUGAACUGAAUUUAGUACUGAAUUUAUGGUUACAUGUCCUCCUUGUGUACCAACCCUCUUUUUGAAUUGAAGUUAGAACUGAAUUUCUGCAUUUUCUGAAGUAUGUGUUCUCUGAUCAAACUACAGGGAGGUGUGAAUUGUGGUGUAGUUCAGUGGGUUGAUCCUGCCUGGCCUGAUGUACUUAAGAACUGCCUCAUCAAGUUGUGGGAAAUGUUCCAUGAGCAAAACCUUGGAAGGUUUCAAGACAAGCAUGCAUAUGAGGAUGAGGUUGCCAAGUUGAAGAAGGACUAUGAUCUGCUCUGCACUGAGUAUCAUAAAAUGGUUGAUGAUGUUAGCAAGAUGUUUGACUGGCAUGAUGGUGUUGGCAAGAUUGACUACCAAAAAGCAAUGGAUGCUGGGAAAUUUGAGAAGCAGAAGGAAGAGCUAGAGCUGGAGAUGAAGAUGGAGAAGCUAAGGCUAGCAAAAGAACAGAGGUGUAUCCUUCAGGCCCAGGCAGACAUAAUUCACAACACCAGGAAGGCAAUGAAAGAGAUAAAGGUGGACAGGGAUCUUUUUGCACAAGAGAAGACAAAGCUUGAGAAAGUAGUUGCUGAUCUGCUAAAUGCUGGCCAUGGGAGCAAGGAAAAGCUUGAGAAAAUCAAGGCCAUACUGGAGGCUUGAAGAUUUGGACAAUGGUGGUUAAGUAAGUAAGGUGGCCUACACAUAUAACAGGCCUUGCAAGAUGAUGGUAGGAGUAUAUUUUGUGCAGUCCUAUAUGAACUAUUUAAGUUAUGGUAACUAGAGUGGUGGAGAACCUUUGCUAAGUCUGGCUUAUGUUAUUGUACUGUUAAGAACCUAUCUAUCUUAAGUAAUGCAGUGAAGAACUGUUUUAUUUCUUUAGGUUGUUUUCCUGAAAGUAGCAAUGCUGAACUAGUAUAUUUUUGGGCCUAAAACCAUUAUGUACACAUUGUGGGCCUAGACUGGGCUGUUUUAUUACUCCACCUACCUACCACCAACCAUUAGUAGUCUAUAAAGCCCACCCCUUGAGUGAAACCGCAGUCAAUCCCCCCAUCCCCACCCUUCUCAACCCCCCAGCCGCCAAAGAAACCCUAGAAUCCAAGGGAGAGAUGGAUCCUGGAGAGGUCAUAGAUGGAGAAGAAGAGGUGCCCAGACAAGCCAGGCGCAGAGAUGCAAGGAGGAGGGCGAGAAGGCAACUUGCUGAGAUGAUCCUUGCAACACGCAACCGCAAGGACAUAAAGCAGUUCCUGGAGGCAUUCCCCCCUGGUUCCAACCCUAGUGAUGAUGAUAUCAUCUACUGGGCAAGGAGGAGGGCAAAUUUCCAUCCCUUUUAGGUCACUAGGCAAAGGUGGACUAGGAUUUUGUACCCAUGAUGCUGCUGUUAUGUUUCUUUGUUCCUAGAUCUGUCUUUCUAUCUAUGUGAUGUUUGAAGUUGGUGUAAGAACAAUGUUGAAUGAGCUAUGUAUGUGACGAAUCAAGUUGUCCAUGAUGCAAUGCAAUGUAUGAAGCUGGUGAAAGAAAAAUGUUGAAUGAUCUAUCUAUGUGAUGAAUCAAUCUGUCUAUGAUGCAAUUUAUGAGUGAAUCUUUUAUCUAUAUUUGUAUGUAUGAAUGAAUUGAUCUGGUGAUCUUGAUGUUUUAAGUUAGAUAUGUUAUGGUUUGUUCAGAUGGCCAUAUCUUGUUGUUUUAGGUUUGAUCUCUUAGGGUUUGGUGCCUAGAUGGGAAAAUCUUGAUGUUUUAGCUUUGAUAUGUUAGGUUUUGGUCCUAGAUAGCCACUUUGGGGUUGGUCAACAAGUAGCCACCCAAAGUGGCCAAAUUUGGGUGGCUUUAGGGUUGGUCGACAAGUUCCACCCCAAAGUGGCCAAAUGUGGCCACUUUGGGGUUGGUCGACAAGUAGCCCCCCAAAGUGACCAAAUUGACCUAAUCAUAUCAAUCAAUUAUCAACAAAAUAAAUCACUUGAUCUACAUAACAAUGCUCAGCAUAAGAAAUAAUUUCAUAUGAAACAAUUCAUAACCUAGGACAUAUCAAAUCAAAAUAAAGCUUGACAACAGAUAACUUAAUUGUUCCAAGCAGUUCAAACACAGACCAUAUAACUUAAUUGUUCCAAGCAGUUCAUACAUAGACCACAUAACUUAAUUGUUCAAAUGAAAAAAAAGUUCACUGCAAAUAACACAGAUAGCAAGCAUGCCUAGCAAGUAGAGUUCAAGGCAUAAAGCAUAGUUGAGUGCAACACAUUCAAUGGUUGCCACUGGCUGUGAAAUACAAAGCAAGUUUGCUUGGGGCCUUCCUCUUCCUCUUAGAACCAACAUCAGCUUGACCUGAUGUUGAUGCUGCCCUUGGAGCAUUGAAACCUCUUGCACUUGACCUGGUGUUCUUUACUGGAGAUGAUGCACUUGACCUGGUGUUGUUGGCUGGUGCUGAAGCAGGUGGUGGGUUCUUUCUCUUUCUUGAUCCACCUGUUGAAACUGCAGUAGAUGUGGUUGCCCUUGUUGUAGCAGAUGUGGUUGACCUUGUUGAAGUUGUUGCUAGUUUCCUGCCCCUAAGUGGUCCUAAAGCUGGAGCUGGACCUGAAGCUGGAGCUGGACUUGAAGCUGGAGCUGGACCUGAUGAUGUGGCCUGGUGGUUGUUUUUCCUUGUCAUAAACUUGGCCUUAAGUCCGUCUCCAUAGAUUGUCCACCUGUGGCCUUGCAGACCACAGUUACUGCAUGUUAUUGUGCCCAUCCUUGAUGUAUCCUUUGGAGCUGGCACCUCAAAUUCACCCUUUCUCCUAGCUGUCUGCUUCUUGCCUUUCUUCUCCCUGAAAACUGGUGGUUCUAUGUCUGGUGUGUUGGUGUUGGGCCAGAAUUCAGGGCCAGGGACAGGGUAGAUGAUGUGCUGGUAUGCAGCCUUAUACAUUGGCUUCUUAAAGAAUGGAUGCACAUAAUCUUCUGGGUGAACUUUUAUCUUCUGCAUUGCAGAUAUUGCAUGGUGGCAAGGUGAUCCAGUCAUGUCCCACCUCCUGCAAGAGCAGCUCCCUACAUCAAGCUUCACACAAUAUGUGUUCUCUCCACUAGUUACUUGCCAGAUGUUGGGACCAGCCAUGUUUGCUUCACAGUAUUUAGCCCACUUCUUGCUCUCCUCAAGCUUCUCCAUGUAAUCUGGGGUUAUUUCCCACCUACAGCUCUCUGUUUUCUCUCUGAUGCCCUGGUACUUAACCAUUAGUUUGGUCCUCAACCCUUCAAACAUGGUCUUAAUUAGUUUUGACCUAACAUCUAGAAUCAUUUUUUUGAAAACCUCACUAAGGUUGUUCACUACCAAGUCAGUCUUGCACACAUGAUCCAUUGCAUAUCUAGCCCAACACUCCUUAGGGAUGCCAUUCAACCACAUGUAGGCUGGUUCACAUGCUGCUUUCAAACCUGCCAUUCCUUCUUUGUGACCAUGUUUAGUGAAGGAAUAGCUAGCUUUGUCAACCCAUUUCUUAAGUUCUUCUGCUCUAAAGCCAGCUGACUGGAAGUUGGCAUAUAUGUGUCUUAGGCAAUAUCUUUGUGGGGAUUGAGGAAAUACUUCAUUAAUUGCUUUAAGAAGGCCCUGUUGUUUGAUUACAUAAGGUAGUAAUGAGAUAACUAUAGCAGCAUUGCUAUGUGCAUAAGAAUAAUACAGAGCCAGAGAAAAUACCUUCUGCCUGUCAGACAUGAUGGUGUAGUUUCCAAACUGGUUGCUGGUGCCAAUGCAGACUCUAAGUUGGUUUAAAAACCAGGUCCAGCUAGGCCCAUCCUCUUUGUCAACCACCCCAAAAGCAAUUGGGAACACAUUGUUGUUCCCAUCUCUCCCAGUUGCUACCAAUAUCUGUUGGCCUGUGGAUAACUUGAUGAAGCAACCAUCAAGUCUUGCAUAAACAGAGAUAGUUAGGGCAAAAUUGAAUAACUUGAUUACAUUUGUAACAUGAUUAAAUCACUGAUUUGUACCUAUGAAAGGCCUACAACCAGCAAGAAAUCCAUCUUUUGAUGCCUGGAGGCAAUAGAACAUGUACUUGAACCUUGGUGUGGGGGCUGGGUUCAAAGGAUCCUCAAAAGUUGUCACUAUGCACCUGCUUCCAGGGUUUGUGUCAAGCACACAUUGUAGGUAGUCCCUCAACCUCAGAUACUGCUUUCUAUGAUCACCUUGCACAACAUCAACAGCCAUCAGUCUUGCCCUAUAUGCCAAACUCCUAGGUACAUGCACCCCAAACUUCUUCUUAGUAUGUUUGAGAACUGUCUCUACAUCAGCCUUUACAUUUGAUCUAACUGUGUCCUCCACAGCUUCUGCAACCCAUUCAGCAGUAACCUUUGUACUCUCUCCACAAGCUCCACAACUAUGAUCCAUGUGGCACUUCUUGAUUGUGAAUGUAUCUUCAUGGGCUACUUUGGAUGCAGUCAUGAAAAAAUCACAUCCAUUCUUCCUCUCUGGGCACCAAACAAUAACCCUUGAUGGUUCAUUCCUAUGGUACUGAAAGUUUCUCAAAGUCCUAACAUGAAAAUUUCUCAAUGCCUUUCUAAACUCAUACACAUUGGUGAAGCAAAGGUCCUUGCACAGCUGCUCAUGUGCAUCAGGUACCUUUGGGUCAUACCAUUUCCUCUCUUUCUUCUUCUUCAAUCUUCUCUUCCUUCCAGAAGGUAGUCUUGGAGUCUCCCCAUCUGAGUCAGAAAUGCCCAUAUCACCAGGGAAGCAAUACUCAUCAGCUUCAAGUACAAAAUCUUGAAACUUUGGGAUCUCUGGCUGACUGUGAGCUCUGGAAGUUGGACCUGGAUUUGCUACUGCUCUUCUCACAGGCUUGAGUUUCUCAGGCCUGCAUUUUUCCACAACUAUUUCCUCUCCACUGUCUGCCUCUUUCUCCUCCUGCCAAAACUCUGAAACAUCACUGUCACCUUCAAACUGUGGUCUGUCUUCUAUAGCAUCUCUUUCUUCUUCAUUUCCAAUAUUUUCUUCACCUCUCUUCCAAGCCUUGUAAGACAUCUUUAUCCCUCUAUAGUCACCCCUAUCAAUCUCAAAGUCUGAGGAUGAUUUGUCAAUAUCAUCAUCCUCUUGACCAGCAGCCUGUCCAUCAUCAUCUCCACCAUUAGCUUCUGAAAUGUUGAAGUUACAGCUUUGCUGUGUGUUCAAAUUAACUUCAAGAGGGUGGACCACUCCAUCUUGUGACAGACUUAACACAAAACCAGGACCCCCCAGUGGGUUGCCUAUUGGAAUUUGUUCUUCACAAACAUUGUGAGCCCUGUUACAUUCAACAUCUCUAUCUUCAUUUGCCUUGGAAACAAUGAUAUUGAGCACUGUGAAAUCUAAGUGGUCUAUCAUUUCUUCAACUGCAUCUUGACUGUCCAAAAGAAAUAAACCUUCCUGUCCAAUCCCUUGUUCUUUUACCCAGUACAUGUAGUCAUCUGACCCAUAGCCUUCAGUCUCAGUAAGUGCUAUCAAGUUCAGAAAUGUGAUGUCUGAAACAGAAAACCUCCUUUCCAUAUUAUCUCUGCCCUGGAAAUGCAGCCUAACAUCCCAAACUUCAUCAUCUAGCCUGCAUUACAUAAUAUGUUAUUUGAAAAGCCCAACUAAGUAAGUGUUUUUGCUACAAAUAUUCAGUGCACACUACUAUAAAGUACAGUAAGGAAUCUGAAUCCAAAAAAUGCUUCUCUGAAUCCACCAUGCAUUUCUACUAAAUCUAACUAAUCCUUCAGUGCUAAGUGAUACUGUUGCAUCCAAAACAUGCCACAGAGUGUUUGCUCAACUAUUAUUCAGUGCAUGUUCAUGUUCUAAGAUGAAUCACAGCAGCAUCAACCUAGGGUUUGGUCAAAAAACUAACUAAAUUAUGCUAUGUUAUUUGAAAUGAACAAGCAGAAAUGCAGAAACUGUUGAAGGAGCUCAUAAGAGGAAAAAAACUUACUCCACCCCUCCAAAUGCAGAGGCCCAGUGCUGGGAGUUGGCCGGAUCUGCCUGCACAGCCCUAUCAAGAGACCUCGCUGCUCUGUACUCAAGCGAGAACUGGCAAUCAUCAGGCGACGGUGGUGUAGCCUGUGUCGUAGGAGCCUGCAUCAGAGCUGCAGCCUGUGGUGUCCGCUGCGGCGGCGGCGGCGCCGCCGGCUAGGUUGCGAAGCUACCACUCCCCAGCCAGUUAUCAACCUCUAAGAACUCGCCGCCUCCAUCCCCCCUUCCACCUCCACCCGUUGAAUGGCCGCCAUCGCCUAGUUUCGCCGCCGCCGCCGCCAUCGGAGAGGGAGGCGCGCACAAGAGAGAGGGAGACAGAGAGGGGGAAGACAGAGUGAGGGCGGGCCGGAUCCAUUUGACUUGGUCGGGACGGCCCGUGUGCCCUAACGGCCGUCACCCGCGCGCCGUGAGCACUGUGGCCGACAAAACCCUGACGGGCGGGCCCCACAUGUCAUAACCCCAGUUAAAACUUAACCGUUCGGCCACUUGGGUUUUUUGGAACAGCCAGCCACUUUUGUGGUAGUUUUUUGAAAAAUUAAAAAAAGCGGUAGUUUUCCGGAACGAUAGCCUGUAAUGUGGUAGUUUUUUGCUAUUUACUCCAAAUAAAUGCUUAAAAAGAGUGCAUCUAAUGGAGUAGUACAAAAUGGUAAAGAAAAUAAAUCAGCCACUAAUGGAGUAACAAAGGUGAUAGCACGGAGUUUGGUAGGCACCGACAAUGAGUAAGCAGGCUGAGGCCACCGGUGCACGAAGAGGAUCAGAAGCGCUGGUUGGGGCUGUGGUUUGGGGCGGCUGCGAUGAAACUUCUUAUUCAACGCUUAUAGCACCGUUUACAGUGUUAUCGGUACCUUUUUUUUGAGGGAAAGAGCCAACUUUAUUAAUCAAAAUCCACAGUGCGUGGGACACAACGAUGGUCAUGGGGCUGGCCAAGCCACACAUGACGCCCUGGUGGUAGCGAUAAAGAAAACCUAGCUAUCUCGUGAGCUUCAGCAUUCUGAGCUCGACUCUCAAAGGUGAAAUUACAUAAAAGUGGUGAUGAGCUCAUCUUUAUCUCUCUGAUUAUAGCUCCAUAAGUGCCAUGACUACCCAUAGCAAUGUCGCCAAUGACUUGUUUGCAGUCCGAAGCCACCACAAAACGUUGCACAUUAAGAUCUUGUGCUAGGGAAAUAGCCUCCCGACAUGCUAUGGCCUCCAGUGUCGCGGGGUCGCAAACUCCGACAAUGACAAGUGAUGAGCUCCCCAUAUAGACACCCUGGCUGUCACUGCAUAUGGCCGCGGCCGUGCCACCCCUCUGAAAUCUUACUGCCACGUCAACAUGAACCUUAGCAUAGCCAGCAGGUGGAGCCUUCAGCCUCUGAGUAGAAGCGUGGCCAGUAGCUGCAGAACGUACGUUGAUCUUUGCAGGGAGUGAGGCAGUAGCCAAAUCAGCCAUGAAGCGAGUUAUAAACUCCUUCGUCGCCCUGGGUGAUUGGAAUAUUGAUUCAUGGAUAGCUUUUCUCCUCGAGGUCCAGAUCGCCCAUAAGGUGACCGCCAGCAGAGUGAACUUCUCAUGUGUUAGCAUAUCCAUUAAUCCAAAGAGCCAGCUCUUCGCCCUCGUCUCCGUUGAUGCGACCAGACUGCAGCCCAAGUCCUCAUCUACCAACGCCCAUAUGCAUCUGGAGACUGUGCACUCCAGGAGGGAAUGACUCCAUGAAUCAGGAGAACCGCAGAGGCCGCACGAGCUAGUCGUUGACAUAUUACGAUGGGCCCUCACAUCCUCCGUCGGUAGUGACUGUUUUGAUAAACGCCAUAGAAACAUGCGUACUUUUGCUGGUACCACAGUUUUCCAGAGGGACUUCCAAGAGGCUUCAUCGACAUGGUUGCUGGAUGAUGCGCCGGAGCCCUCUAGCCACGCCUCUCGCCGUUGCUUCAUAGAUACCAACAUAUUAUAGGCUGACCUGACUGUGAAUUGUCCGGUUCUCUCGUGCAUCCAGCUCCAAAAGUCCUGCAUAGGAGCCGUACACAACGGGAUACCCAUGAUGAUUUUAGCAUCGAAAGGCAAGAAAGUUGCUUCCACCACAGAUCUCUUCCAUGAAGCAUUAGUUGCAUCGAUCAGUUCAGAUACUGUGUUGGGAGGAUUACUUACGCAACAACCAUACGGUCUCAUCAUCUCUGACCGGGGAAGCCAGUUUUCGGUCCAAAUGCUGGUGCUCGCCCCAUCUCCUAUCCGCUUGAUCAGUCCCAAUUUAAGAAUAUCCCGGCCUUCCACUAUGGCUCUCCAUAUCUGACUUGGAUGGUUCCCAAGUGUUGCCUCAAGUAUAGAUGUAUGUGGAAAAUAUACGCUCUUCAGAAUCCGUGCACUCAGAGACUCGGGGUCUUGUAACAUUCUCCAUGCCUGCCUGGCUAACAUGGCAAGAUUGAAAAGCUCAAAAUCUUUGAAUCCAAGGCCUCCCAUGCUUUUUGGUUGUGUCAUUGCUUCCCAAGAGACCCAGUGAGGUUUGCGUUGGCCGUUUGAGCUCCCCCACCAAAAUUUCCUUAUUAGCAUAUUGAGGUGCUCACAUAACCCCCUAGGUAGUUUGAAACAAGACAUGGAAAAUACCGGCACUGACUGGGCAACAGAUUUGACUAGUACCUCUUUUCCUGCCGCCGACAAAGUUCUCUCUAUCCAUCCCUGAAUUUUGCUCCAUAAUCUGUCCUUCAAAUAUUUGAAGGCACCGUUUUUUGAACUCCCUAUAUCAGAUGGCAUGCCCAGAUACUUCUCAUUCAAGGUUUCCUUGGGGACAUUGAACAUACCUUUUAUAGCAUUGCGAGUUUCCUCAGAAACGCCUUUACUAAAGAAAAUUGAGGAUUUGUUGUAGUUGAUUCUUUGACCUGAAGCUUGGCUAUAAAUUUCCAACAACUGGUUAACCUCUGUAGCACCCGCACUGUUGGCCUUGAAGAACAGCAGGCUGUCAUCAGCGAAUAGAAGAUGGUUAACUAGUGGUGCCUGCAGCGCCACCUGAAUCCCACCCAAGUUUGAUGACUCACUUUGUGAUUUGAAAAGGCACGACAUGCCCUCUGCUGCUAACAAGAACAAGUACGGUGAUAUUGGGUCACCUUGUCGGAUUCCACGUGAUGGGUUGAACUCCUCAAGUUUCUUUCCAUUGAACAUGACUGCGAAUUUUACUGAGGUAACCAUGCCCAUUACAAUAUCCACCCACCUUCUGUUAAAACCCAAUAUAAUCAUGAUGGCUUAGAGAUAAGCCCAUUCAACUCGAUCAUACGCCUUCAUCAUAUCCAAUUUCAGAGCACAUGAGUGAUUUUUCUUUUCCUUGUUCCUCUUCAUGAAAUGCAAUCACUCAUAUGCCGUUAUUAUGUUGUCUGUGAUCAAUCUCCCCGGAACAAAGGCUGAUUGUUCAGCAGAAAUUAUAUCUGGCAGUAUCUGUUUGAGUCUGUUGGAGAUUACCUUGGACGCUAUUUUAUAGAGCACGUUACAUAAACUUAUGGGCCGAAACUGGGCAAGGAGUGUGGGGUUUUUGACCUUGGGGAUGAGAACCAGCACCGUAUUGUUAAUGCAUGCUGCUGACUCUGUCCCGUCCACAAUUUUGAGUACCACUUUCGUUACAUCUGCACCGCAUACAUCCCAGUGGCGCUGAAAGAAGUGAGCGGGGAAUCCAUCCGGGCCAGGGGCUUUGAUUGGAAACAUUUGGAACAACACACUUUUCACUUCAUCGUGUGUGUAAGGAGCAUUCAGACGAUCGUUCAUUGCCUGCGUUACUUUAGUAGAUACUGACUCCAGUACCCUAUCCAUGCCCUGUACUCCCUCGGUUGUGUAUAAGUUUUUGUAAAAUUCGGUGGUAAGCUCCUCCAUCUCCUCCCUGUCCUCGGUCAGCUAUCCAUCCGAUCGCUGCAACAAUUUUAUCUGGUUCUUCCGGCGGCGGCGGCUCGCUCGCAGGUGAAAAGAAUAAGUGUUUUUGUCACCAUGGACCAGCCAAUCCAGUCGAGCGCGUUGGCGCCACAUCAAUUCCUCUCUAUCAAACAGUUCGACCAGUCUGUCAGCUAUCUUGGUUUCAGUGUUUGUCGGUCCCGUCCGUCCUGGCGCUGAACGCAUGACCUCAAGCUGGCGUUGGAGUUGGCGAAUCUCCAUACGCACCGAUCCGAAGUUGUUGCGGUCCCACGCUGACAAAUCUCCCGCCAGGUUCCCUAGUUUUGCAUGUAUGCCCUCAACCGAUUCUCCAUCCUGCAGACUCCAGCUAUCACGCACAGUGUCAAACAGUGUUUCGUCCCUUUCCCACAUCGUCUCAUAUUUAAAAGCCUUGUGGCCCAUUUUGCAUGCAUGCAACUCACGUAGCUGAAGAAGAAUAGGAAUGUGAUCUGAACUAGCAGCACUUUUGUGCGAUAGCUGUGAUGAUGCGAGGGCGAGAGUCCAUUCUGUAUUUACCAGGCACCUGUCCAGCCUAACCUGGGUGUAGGUGCCUCCUGUGACCCUUUUUUCAAAUGUCCAACUAGUGCCAGAGUAUCCAAUAUCUGAUAACCCACAUGUAUCAACUGCUUCCCUGAAUGCUUCUAUUUGGGCUUGGCUUCGUUGUCCCACACCAUCAUGUUCAUGGCUGUGAAGAACCUCAUUAAAAUCUUCCAUGACUGCCCACGGUCUGUUCUGCGUCUCAGCAAUACCGCGCAGGGUGUCCCAUGUUUUGUAUCUCUCUGGUACCUGGGCUUCGCCAUAGACAAAGGUAAUUCUUACCUGCAAAUCAACUAAGUCAUCAACAAGAAUAUCAAUGUGAUACUUUGAGUAAUCGAUAACUUCCACUUUUAUUUCAUCGUUCCAAAAAAUUCCAAGUCCACCACUUCUACCGGAACUACUAACUGCAAAGCUUUUAUUGUAGCCUAUGCUAUCAGCCAUACUCUCAACCCUCUUUCCCUCUAUUUGAGUUUCAAGAAUACAAACAAUAGAGGGGGCAAACUGCCUCGCUAGAUCGUGAAGCUCUCUAACUGUCGCGGCUUUGCCAAUCCCGCGAAAGUUCCAGCAAAGAAGACUCAUUGCGCUAGGCGCGGCCCCGCUUCGGAGCCCGCCACAUGCGCAUCAGGGUUUUUGGUAGAAACUGUGCUCUUCUCCAGAGCUGACUCAUUAGACGAGGUUGACUUCAAUCUUUUCAGAUCCUGCUUGGGAGGAGGGCUAAGGGGCACCGCAGGUGAUGGCAGAAACAGUUGCUUCGUCUGUUGUACCGAAUAGGUUGGGAACGUGGUUUUUGGAUCAUGUGCCCCUCUCUUCCUGUUGCGAUCAACCUCAGUCAUUGCUACAUCUCCGUCUCGCUGAUCACGUUCCUGGUGAUGUUGAUCAUCAAACGAGUCUGCACUAUUGGGCGAUCGUCCUCUUCCUCUUCCCCCACGGCCUCUGCCGCGACCUCUCCCUGCAUUGCUGCUCUCGCCUUGAUAUCUUUGAAGACCAGAGUCUUUGGGGCAUGAACCCCGUCCCCGCACUCUUUGUGUUGGUGACCUAGAUGUCCACAAACUGCACACCAGUCCGGCAGUCUUUCAUAUUUGACUCUAAAGAUGACUCGUUCCACCGAAUCCUUUUUCCUUAUUACCAGUGAAACAACGUUCUUCAAAGGUUUAGUGACAUCGAUCCUGACUCAAACUCUAGCAAAGUUACCUUCAAAAUCCGGGGAUCUAGGCUCUGCAUAUAUGAAUUCUCCCAUAGUAGCAGACAUAGCUUUGACCUUAGAAAAGAAGCCAUCGGGCAGGUCGUGAAUCUGGAUCCAAAUUUCCAAUUUGUUGAGCUCUAUAGACGACGGCUUUGUGAAGCCAUCAUACUCUGCCAGAACUACUGCUUUCCCCUUGAAAUUCCAGGGGCCAUCUCCCAUAACCCUCUCCCAGUCACCCAGGCACGAGAAUUGCAUUGAGUACAGAUUAUCUUCCAGUGGUCUGAUCUUUACCUCUUGAGCUAGGUCCCAGGCCACUCUCAUAUUCCUAUAAAACCAAUAUUGGCUGUAUGUUUUCUCCGUGUGAACCCUAGCCAACGCCAUCCAGCGUGUUUCUUCCUUCGGCAGCUCGGUGUCUUCCACCACAACAUCAAUCAGAUCAUCUUCUUUCAGUCCAAGUUCCUCCAUCAUCGCAGCCAGAUUGGACGCAGUUGUACUUGAUCCAGAUGCAGUCGAACUCAUCAUGCGCUCGCUCGAGGUUAGGGUUCCGCGAGCGGUAGGUCCCAAGGAGUCACCACCCGCCCAGAACGCCGCGGCGGCCGAAGGCCACAGCGAUCGCCGGAAGGGGGUUAACAUCCGGGGAGGAAAAGUCCCUACGGUGUCGGCGUCGCCGUCGCUCGAGGGAAGAGAAAAACCCUAACGAGAGGGGAAACUUAGGAGGGAGAUUAGUGUUAUCGGUACCUGCCGCCCACACUACUUUAGAUAGCUAAUUGUAACUGGGCUGGCCCAUAUGUGUGAGCCCUCCUCCAUUACCGGUUGUGAAGGAAUUUCCUAUUCAACGCUUAUACCAUUUGUUAUAGUGUUUUCCUUUUGUUACAGUGUUAUCCGGGGACCUCCUACUUGGUCACCUGCGCGCAAAGUAGGAGGGAACGUGCACCCUUGGCUCCCAUGUAAGAGUUUUUCCCGCCCUAUUUUUAUUAUUUCAUUUUUAUGCCUUUUGUUUUUUCAUUUCUGUUUGUGUUUUUCUUCUUUAAAUAAUGUGUGGUUAAAAAAAUUCCCAAUUUCAAAACAAUACCAAAAUUGUUUGACAAAUCAGGAAAUAUUUGUGAAUUAAAAAUUGUUGAUGACUCUUCACUUCAGUGUCUCGACCCACCGGAACAAAAGCCGUGUGUACAAAUUGUGUUCGAAGCUUAUCGUAAACUGGCUUAGCAAGUGUAGUCUUGCCAAGUCUGCCUGGUCCAACAAUUGAGACCAUCUUCAUCUUGUGCUGCUGUUGCUUGAGACCAUGUGUGAGCCUCUUGGUUAGCUUGUUCCAUGCAUCUUCAAUGCCAACGAGCUCUUUCUGAUCAUUGUACAAAGCCAAUACACGAGGGUCAACCUUCUGUUUGCUAGCUGGAUUAGGAACAUCAUUGACCCUGUAUCUGGCACGCCGGCCAGCCAUCUCUUGAGAGCGGUUCUUGAUGUACCUGAUUGCAUCUCCGAUCUGAUGGCGAGUCUUGCCUUUUGUGAACAAGUUGGCCAUCUUCCCUACCUAUCAUUUGAUCAUGUUUGAGUUGGGGACGGCAUCAGAUUCAUAUCCCUCGACGGACACUAGGAAGUUAUCGAUGACAUCCUCCAUGUCAUACGACAGCUCCCUUUUAGGGAUUCAUGUCCCUUGGAAUCUCCGCCACCUUUACGAGGGCAGCGUUCAAGCUCUUCAUGUCCCUCUGGAGGGACUCGACGUACCGAAUAAAUGGGAGUUAGAGGACAGGAAUCUGUUGUAGGAAAGACAAAGGAAAUUGUUCUCCAUCGCCGUCCGGUUCCACUGGGAAAAAAUUACAUCCACUGCAACACCAAGACCGCAUGCUUACCGAGUAGUAGUAGAAGCAGCAGAGCUGAGUAAGGCACCCACUACCGAAUGCAGGGAUAAAUCCAGCACCAAGUAAGCAGCUCACAAGUGAGAGACGGCAUGCGCUUUGCGAACGGAAGGACAGGAGCAGAAAACAUUUUGGGAGAAAGAUCGACGUGGCUCAGAAAAUUGAAGGCGGUCUACUCCUCCUGAUUGAAGCCGGCGACUACACAAGCGCCAUGGUUUGAUGGAGCAAGAGAAAUGGUGUUGAACCCCCAACUCGUUCCAUUUCUAGCAGAAAAGUAGGGCAAUAAUUGAGUGGUGGUAUGUUAUUAGUGCUGGUAAUGGAGUAGGAAGCACCCUAGAAGUGCACCAACUAGUACAUCAAAAUACUCCUGCCAGUGGCGGUGGUAGAUCAUUCAUGUGUACUACUCGAUCGUAACAAGAACAAUUACAUGAACCAGCUUGUGCCACUAGUAAUAAUAUUUAGCUUAUUUUUACAUUAAGUUUUGCAAUGAAUAAUAUUUAGGUUAUUAAAAAGACUAUAGUUUAAUGGAUGGCCCAGAUUUGGAAAUAUUACUGCAGAUUUUUGGUAGUAAUAGACUUGCUUCACUUGUCGAUUUAUAUGAUCUGUCGCUUUCAGCGACGUUUGGGGCUGUGAUUUGGGUUUGUUGUCAUUGAAAUUGCACAACUAUAGAAACUGGAUUCUUUUUUAUUAUUAUAGUGAGCACAAGGAAUCAUGUUACUAGUUGAAUUCAUAGAAAAAGACUCCAUUCAGACUCUGUCCUGCUCCAUGAAAAUAUCCUAUCAGAUAGACGCAGAGCGGUACAUAUACAGACUCAGGUUUCUUGAAAUCUAAUGCAACCAAGUCUUGUACAAUGGUCACAUGUUAUGUGACCUGAACCAAUUAUGGGUUUGCACUUGAUAAUUCCCGCACGAACCACAUGUAAACAUGGUUCGAAGGCUUGAAUAACAAUGUAAAAUUGAUGUCAAGUUUUCCCGACUUGAUUCCUGUCUAGGUUGGAGUCAUCAGUCUACUUGAAGCACUCGUUUUUCUCAUCUACGUUGGAGGACUGAUUGGAGCAUGAAUUAGUUGAGGAGAUAGAAACCCAUUUUUGGCGAGGGAGAGGACAGAAACCCAUGACACAACAAGGUUUUCAUGAUCAUCAUUGGCUAACUUCAAAGUUCCAACAGAGUGCCAACUACCAAGUGAGUAGCAGUACAAGGCACUGUUCAGCUGAAUCAAUCUUUACAACAUUAACCUAUCAUUCACUGGCGUUUCAUACCCAGAAUUGACUCUUAUAACAGUACAGAAGCAAACCCCUACUUCGAGUCAGUGUUGCUCUGUACUUUUUUUAACGGAGGUUAUAACUACGGCCUCUUUAUUUAUUAUUCAGCGGCCAUCUUUAUUUAUUAUUCCACCAAAGUCUAACAAAAACAUACAUCAAGCUACUCGAAGACAUCACUCACACCUACAAAACUCGAAAAUGUAGAGUGCUCUCACACUCCUCAUAUCUAAACCGGUAUCGUCGCUGAUCCAUCCACAUAACGUGUCGGAACGAACAGCCAGUGCAGCAGACCUAAAGCGCACACCACAUGCACAUGUUUUAGACGCCGCCAUCAUCUGCAGACCGCUGACCCAUCUUCAGGAGAGAGAUCCACAUCAUCCUUGCCAGUCCGUCCAUCCAGUCCCUCCCUCCUCUCGGCCUCCCUAUUAUCCCUCCUCACCCUCUGCUGCUGAUCUGUGGCGGCCUCUCCAAUAGCUCUGUGGCCUUCUUUCGCUGCCGCACCGGCCCGAGCGUUGUCGCUUGCAAGCCGUCCGGAGGCCACAAUGGCGCUCUCCCGUCGGGACUUUGCCACAUUCCAGCAUAUCAGUUGCUCUGUCAUGGGGAUCUGUCCUGCUCCUAGCCGUGUCUCCCGCGAUGGUGGUAGACCUGACUUGUACUACAAUGUUCUUUGGUCGCACGGCUGGCCACGGCGGUUUGCUCCGUUCCUUUGUAUCUAUGUUGCAGCUUCAAUUGUGUUAUGCAUGUCAUGGAUGUAUUAUAAUUCUGGGAUGCAUGUAAUUGUAUUGCUAUGAAUCUUAAAAUUGCUAGGUGUUCCAUGAACCAAUGAAUAUGCUAGAAAAUAUUACUCUGUCAUAUAUAUGUUAGAAAAUGUUCUCGUCGGGCCGGGUUUCUCUGCCCUAGAGAACAUAUUCUACAUGUUAUAUGCGACAAUGUAGUGAUGAAUAUUUCACCGGAAAUAGUGUAAAUGCAACCAACUCCCCCAUUAGGAGACAGAGUGGAAUAUUGUUUGACGAUAGACUUGGUUUAUGCAUAUUCGACGCACGUUUGAAUUUUUUCUCCCGAGCCACAAGAAAGCUCCUCGCGCGACCGCGUCCGUCCCUCAUGGGCGGCCGGCCGCGCUGUCCAUCCCUCCUUCCCAGCGCUCUCCCCCACCCUCUCUCUCCCCACCGUUGCCGGGGUGCAUCCCCGGGCUCGGCUCGGGCGGCGCCGGCGGUGCGGCCCACGGCUUUCCCCCCUGCGGCAGAUCCUGUGCGGGGCGGCGCUGCUUAAGGAGGUGCUCUCAGGUGGCGAUGGUUCGGCGCUGCGGUGGGCUGGUUCGCCGCUGACUUCGGUGGUCAGAGGCGGAGGAGCUCCGCGGCGGCGCGGGCUGGUGGCGCCCGUUCGGCCCAGAUCUGGGCCGAGGCGGGCCGGCAGCUCCGAUUUGUGGUGUAUCUUCCUGGAAGCGGCGGUGGGGUGUCUGGAUCCUGGGUGGUGGCGGCAUCGUUGCCGGAUUGUGCAGCGUGGCGGUGGAGUCUUUGCGGGAUCGAUCUGAGCCCGGCUAGGCCCGGGUGGCCUGGUUUGCCUCCCGCCUCGGCGUCCGGCUGGCUACCGCGAUGGCGUUGGAGGAACUGGCCUCUGGCGCGGCGUCGGUGGAGGUUGUCCCCUCCCGCUUGGCUGCGGUGCUGCCACCCCCGGCUCCAUGCGUUCUCAUUUUCCGUCCUCUAGGCCUCGCGGUGGUGGCCUUAGUGAGACGGCGUGGGUGGCCUCAAGACCGCGGUGGCGAAGGAGGGUGGGUGGCGUGUUGGGUGGAAGACUCCGGAGCGAUUGGGUAGUGUGCACAAGUGUUAGAAUCCUAAAAGGUAAAUAGUUUCUUAAGAUCUGAAGCAAGUGUUGGAAGAUUCUGCUGCCUCUAGAUACACAACAAAUGUCCACAUGUUGCUUCUUGGAGAAGCCGAGAGAGCCUUGAGCGGAGUGUUUAACCUUAUGUAUGAUAUUCUUAACUACCAUUUGUAUUAAAUGAACCAAUAAACAUUUUAUGUUAAUUGUCUUGACAAAUUUUGCUGUGUGCAGACUUACAUAUUAGUGGCACUACACAAAAAAAGAUGGCUAAGGGGUUUAUGAAGUAGGAUAGAGAUUGGUGAGAAAAUAUGUGCCCUCUCUCUCGUUUGUAAAGAGGUUCAAAUGUUAUGUGUGUAGCUUUUGCUAGUAUUCUCGAAUCGUUGGCCGUGAAUUGUCAAUUGUGUAAAUGUACAUGUGAAUUGUCUUAUGAAAAACAAUGUGCAACUGAGUGAUUAUGCCUGUGUAUUGUGUUCAUGUCUUUCUGUAAAUUUCGUUUGCAUUGCUGGUAACAUACUGAAAUGAAGUGCAUGCAUGCAAUGGUGAAAUGAAUCGGUACGAUCGACUGGCUGGCGGUCCAAACUAGUACACUAUCACUGACCGGUUAGAUUGCGGGUCUAUGAUGAGCAAGUCAUCACAAACCCUGAUCCACUGACAGACCAGCAACUAGUUAGUGAUGAUGAAAUUUGGCCGGUAAGUGUUAUUCGGAUUUGUAGUANNNNNNNNNNNNNNNNNNNNNNNNNNNNNNNNNNNNNNNNNNNNNNNNNNNNNNNNNNNNNNNNNNNNNNNNNNNNNNNNNNNNNNNNNNNNNNNNNNNNNNNNNNNNNNNNNNNNNNNNNNNNNNNNNNNNNNNNNNNNNNNNNNNNNNNNNNNNNNNNNNNNNNNNNNNNNNNNNNNNNNNNNNNNNNNNNNNNNNNNNNNNNNNNNNNNNNNNNNNNNNNNNNNNNNNNNNNNNNNNNNNNNNNNNNNNNNNNNNNNNNNNNNNNNNNNNNNNNNNNNNNNNNNNNNNNNNNNNNNNNNNNNNNNNNNNNNNNNNNNNCUCGGGUUUCUGCCCCUUUAUGAUAUAUGAGAAAACUGAACGAUUCAGGUGAAACUAGUCAUGAUAAUAAUUAGCAAUUCUAGUAUUUUAACACACAUAUCCCAAUCACUAUAGUUUUUUCAAACGACUAUUUUAACAACGCAUCUACGAUUCAUAGUAAAAUGUGACAUUGUAUACUGUAAAAUUUCUACAAUCUACAAGGUCAAAUUUAUUGUAAAUGUGACCACAACACCAGAUACACUAGAAAUAAAGUAAAACCCUAAAAGUCCCAUGCUAGCUAGACUACUCUUGGUUGGCUAGAAAUUAGGAGGGAGUACCCAGAUGCCAGUUUGAGCACGAGCUGCUACAUAAGAUCCCGCUGAUUUGAUCCUCUGUGUGACAUUGUCGCUACUUUCAUCUUGCAUAGGAUAUACACGGUUACCAUUGCCAUCAAAACUUGCCAAGUAUGUCAUAUCAUCAGCGUAGAUGUGGUUUCUCUGCACCCUGUCGCGCCCAACCACCGGCACGUCAACCGCCCUGGACAUUUUCCCCAAAAAUAAGGCGGAGUCACCCAAGGUCCUUACUUCCUCCCACUUACGAGCAUACUUUGUCAUCGAGUCAUCAUCCAACACAUAAACCUUGAAGAAAGGCUCAGGGCCGGUGUGGUAUGAUGGGAAUUUCCCCAGUACCAUCGCUAGCUUCCCUUGCAGCUCAACAAUGUGAGUCGACCAUGUGAAAGGUUCACUAACAAUCUUGAUAUGCAACUCGGCGUCAAUGGCGAGCAGAGGCCUGCCAUAUUUGUUCGCGCCUAUGUUGAAUUUGAUCAGGUCAUUGGAGAAUAUUAUAUUAAUGUCAAUUUAAUAUUAUACUAUGUGUCGUCAAUUUAAAAGGCUCCUGCCGUCAUGCCUUUGAGUAUUAUAUUAAUGUCAAAUUGUUUAAAUGCUAGUAAUUAGUUAACUUAGAAGCAAACUGUUUAUUGAUAAAAUGCUAUAGUAUAAUUAAGGGAGUUUUUUUUUUGAAAAAUAAUAAUGUUAGAUAUAUGCUGAUGCAACAAGGGCAUGAUUUUAUUUGUUAGCAAUACUAAUAAAAAAGUUCAUAGAAAAUAAUUUUAUACUCCCGAGGGUUAUACACAUAGUUUAAUUUGUUAAUUGUUAAAAAGUUAGCUAUACAACUAGCUAUAUAUUUGUAAAUACUAAUUAGUAGUGUAAAAAAGCAGGAACGAGCACCCGCCUAUGAUACCUUGAUUUACCAACACAAAACGUGCAUCUUGUGUGUAUGAUUGUGAAAUGCACGUUGUGUGUGGAGUUUGACAUCUAAUUUUUAACCCGCUGUUGGUCUUUCAUAUAGAGGAAUGUCUCGCUGUGCUUCCACGAGUCCCUGUAGUUCGCUACGGCUCAGAAACACAGUGUUCGGACGUCAGAUACACUAAAGUUGCACUAUGACAACCAUUGUACAAUCCAGCCCGCCUCAGUUAUAUUAAUAAAAAUAUCGAUCCGAGAACUUUAUCAUGUAUCUGGUUGCGACAGACGCAUAUACGUUCGAGAAAAAGGAGAUAAAUGGUCCUGCGAAGGUAAGGUGGCAGCUAUCGGUGUUCUAGUACACAAGACAACCGAACGCUACACACAGUACUACAAGUCAGUAAUAAAUAGAGUCUGGCGACUACUAGGCUGGCAUGACAGUGCUGUCGAGCGACUCGCCGAUGUGUAUGGCAAUGUGGAAAAUGCAUCCCAUUACUUCUCAUCUCCGCUCCUCUUUGCUCGGUUUGUCCAAGAAGCGGAACACACCACUCAUGUCGGCCUACAUGGCAUAACAUGCUCGUGGAGAAACUAUGNNNNNNNNNNNNNNNNNNNNNNNNNNNNNNNNNNNNNNNNNNNNNNNNNNNNNNNNNNNNNNNNNNNNNNNNNNNNNNNNNNNNNNNNNNNNNNNNNNNNNNNNNNNNNNNNNNNNNNNNNNNNNNNNNNNNNNNNNNNNNNNNNNNNNNNNNNNNNNNNNNNNNNNNNNNNNNNNNNNNNNNNNNNNNNNNNNNNNNNNNNNNNNNNNNNNNNNNNNNNNNNNNNNNNNNNNNNNNNNNNNNNNNNNNNNNNNNNNAAGACGAUGAAAAUUGAGUAAACACAAAAGUAAAGUAGCCGGUCUCAUUAUCAUUAGAAGACGAUGGCAACUACUGCAUGCACCCAUACAUUCUUGGAUCGCUAUAUUUGGCUUAUUCGGUCACAAACCGACGACUUUGCAGCUGCUACAUAAACAACGCUACUCUGGAUCUUAGGGAAAAAUGUUUGGAGACGGAUAUUGAUAAAGGAAACCGAGGAGAGUUGGUGAUGUGAGUCUACUCCAUCGUGCAUGCUACCUACAUGGACAAGCACAUCCGACCUGGCACAGCCUCGAGUUUCAUUAUCCCCUCUUGAUCCCUCUGAUGUUUCCUCUUUCUCUUCAUCAUCAUCUUCACAUCCCUCAAUGUGCACGUUUUUGUGCCUCGAUUUGAUUGGUUCAACUACUUGCUGGCUAUCCUCAGAGUGGUCAAUUUUUUUGGUGUUCGCGAGGAGUCACCAGUACAAGCAUGGUACUGAUAUGUCAUACAUGACCGUGGCAUUUGUACUUGUAGUUUCCUUUCAUUUUUCAUUUUCCUUUUUAAACGCAUACUGUACUUUCUUUACUACACGAUAAUUAAUAUACACUGCACAUUUUUGUAGUAUACGUCAAACAAAUUUUUUAAUUGUAUGAAAACAUAUUUUAUAUUCACACUAUUUUAAAAAAAUAUAGUGAAUAUUUCUAAAUACAUCUAUAAUUUUUUAAUACACAAUGGACAAUUUUUUCAUGUACACAUAACACUUUUUAGUAUAUGAGGAACAUUUGAAAUAUACGGCGAACAUUUUCUAUAUACCCACUAAUAUUUUUAUAAAUGCUGAACAUUUUAAAAGUACACGUUCAUUUUUGUGUUUUCACAAACCAUAGAAAACCAAGAAACUGAAGUAAAAUGAAUAAACGAAAAAAAACAGUACCGGACAGCUCCGUCGCUGCAAAAAUAGGUCUGCACGUCUUAGUGGGCCUACCCAUUCAGAGUCACCUAUGCGUAUCCUCAACUUUUUCGACAACGGGUGCCUUUUAUUUACUUAUAAUGUUGCAUCGAGGGAUACAAUCAUAACAAGCACACACCCAAACUAUGUAUAACUAGCAUACACACUGCGAACACACAUAAAAAAUCACACUGGCAAAUAACAAAGUCAAAUAAGACAAGAACUAUGGCUAGACACAUACAGAAAACGAAGGAAAGAAGAAGAAAUCCCGAGGCGACCAAAAGAGCAUACGUGAGUGAUCAUAUGUGCCAACCAUCUGAACUACUGCGUCAACUAGGAGGUCUCGCUUCUAAGGCCAUCAAUAAUAUUAACGAUGGUUCCAUAUAAAAAAAGAAUAUUAACGGUGGUAGCAGGUGCGAGAUCUUAAAUUAUCAUUUUUUAAGGCCGCUCCAUCGUUUUUGUUCUGCACAAGUGGCUCCCCUAGCCGUAACCCCACCCACUGGUUAUGUAGUUCUUUAAGAGAAAAUCGAUGACACAUGCAAGCAACAAUUUUGUAUCUUCUGUCAUUUGUUUAUACUAUGCCAUCACGAGGAGAUUGCACUUAAAAAGACAAAUUGCAUAUAGGAUAGUUAAAAAAGGGUUGUUUUCUGUCGUGGAAAGGUUGAUUCUAGUAUGAGUAUUCUCUUGGUAUCCGUUCCUUCAUGGAGAAGAGAAGGUGAUUUUCUCUCGCCGCCCCGUCAAUUGAAAUUAUACAUGUUCAAUGAUGACAUGAAGGUUAAUUUCACACCACUCAUUCAUUGUGCUUGCCUUGAGUUCCCUUCAAGGAUAUACCGUGGCAUUCCCGCCUCAAAGAGCUUUUUCAAACCCCUUUCUCAAGAUGCACAACUCAGUCAUUGUUAUCUUGUGUAGACGGGUUCAUCCAACAGGGUAUAAGAUAACACGAUGGACUGAACUGAAGAGAAAAGAAAAAAAAAAUCAUCUACUAAGCCUUAAGCAUUAAACAAGCUUGGAGUGUUGGUCAGCGUGCGACAUCAUUCAAGAAUUUUGUGGACCUACGCUGACCCAAUGAACUUGUGCCCUAUCCCUUGAAGAAAUAUCUCAUCAAUUAUGAAUAAAAAUGUUUGAAGCAUAGAAGUACUCAUGUUUUGACAACAAUACGACCCAUUGUCAUAAACUCAUAAUAUCCCCAAUUUUUACUCAUGAAAAUCAUGUUUGCAUCCCUUUUUGACUCGUUACAUUGCAAUUGUGUCCCAAUUAGAUAACAAUAACACUAAUGAUUGAGCUUGCCAUUGGUAUUCAGUUAUGUGUACACACACAUCACCUUAUGGGUAUUUCACACGAGAAGAAAAUUAGAGGCGAUUUAUUUGCAACUAACAGGCGCUUGCCGCCUCCCAUUGGCUCGCUGCUUGCCAACAAGCAUUCGAUUCCAUUCAACUGAAUUUAAGAAAAAUGGUCAGCAUGUUGGCGCUGUACUGUGUUGGGUUCGUUGAUUGCAUCCAUAUAUAUAAGCAGUCCAUUCCAUUCAACUCAAUUCAUCAACUGCAUCCAUAAUAAAUAUCAAAAAUUCCCCAUGGCACACAACGUGAUUUGCUUGCUUCUUGAUCGGAUUAUCAAACACCGGAGGGGUGUCUUCCUGUGUGAGGGUGGCCGAAACAAACUCGGCAAUUGCAGACGCUCUGAACUCGCCAUCUGCAAUACACACAGUACAUUGUUAGCCAAUUUAACAGUCAAACCAACUCGGUACAUAGAAAUGGAAAGGAGAAGCUAAAACAAGUUUACCAUAUACUGUUAACUUCGCCUCUUUUUUCUUGAGCAGGACUAGUGAUGGGCGCUUUGCUUGCGGGUCAACAUGGAAAAGCUUGGCUAUAUCAGGACUGGUAGUCUGGUAGAUGUUGACAGCCCGGUACAAGCUGUUGAAAUCUUCCAGCCUUGAGGCAGCAGCAAGCUCUUCGGUGUGAGCACCCUAUAGCAUUUGUUGAUAAGAGUAAUCAAUUUUGGGCCACAUGUGCGGUGCAAUUGCAGCAAUUCGGUUGGAUGGUAGACUUUGCUGGGAUUGGAACGUACCGAAAGGGAGUCGAGGAAAGCUAGCACGGCUACUUUGCCGCCGGUGAUGAUCUUCUCGGCCUCGUCGAUGGUGGUGACGUUCUGCACCUCAGGGCCCAGCCUCUGGGAUAUCCAAGUGACCAUGGCGUCCCUGCAGCAGUGGAAAAUUCGCCACCAUGAGGGAUGAAAUAUAAGACCGUUUAGAUCACCAAAGUAAUCUAAACCACGAACAAAAAAUAAGAACAAAAAAUUUGAAUGGAACAUUUCCUGAAAUUCACAAACAUUUCUUAAAAACAUGAAUCUUUCUAAACCACGAACAUUUUUUAAGUUGUCAACAAGAACAUGUUUUGAAGAUUCAGAAGAGUUGUAGUAAUUUUUUUCUUUAAUGCAAACAUUAUUUUCAAUUUUUGAACAUAUUGUGAAAACAACAAUAUUUUUAGAAUUUGGAAUAUUUUCAAAAUGCAUUUUUCUAAAUAUUGUUUUUUAAAUACAGUUAUUUUUUAACAAAUGGCAAUAUUUUUUAAAUUUUGAAAUACAUUUGGCAGAACUAAAAAAAUUCCAAACAUUUUUAGAAUAGGAACACAUUUAUGUAAUUCGUAUAUUUUUAUGAAUUCUUGAAUAAAAAUGAAAUUGCGAUAUUUUCCGAAAAUUUUGAAUUUCAGAAAAUACGUAGAAAAUAGACUUAGAAUGUGAAAAGUAAAAAAUAAAUACGAAACAAAAAGAGAACUAAGCAGAAAAAUAAAAAUGGAAACCGAACACAAGCAUAAAUCGGCCGCUGAGUUUUGGGCGCCUUGUGCGUACCUGAAACUAUUUACCGCCUUGUGCGGGAAAUAGGAUUUUUUGUUGCUACAUGGGCAGGAAAAAAUGGGCUGAAUUUACGGGGCCAUAGUGCGCGCGGCCCAUGUACGAAAUUUUGCACAAAUUGUUUUUCCUUUGCUAAUAGACGAACAUAGAAAGUUUAGUACCACCUCGGAAAGAAAAACAAUAAUUUUUUGGCGGUGAACGGAUAAAAAAAUCGGAGAAACGCACCUUGCUUUAUUAGUAGGUAUAUAUAGAUAUUGAUAUAGAUAUAGAUUGCUCAAGGUGAAAAGCUAAGGCUAUCCUCUUAAGAAAAAAAACGAAGUUAUCUUCCUCGAAAGAAAAACAAAACUAUGUUAUAUAUCCUCCUCUCAAUCAACAAAAUCACCUCUCCUCGAGCAAGCCAACUCUGACUGCACCAUGGGUAAACGUCAAGAUCCCUCCGAACGAUACACGAGAACCGUCUCGGCCACUGCCAAACAAUUGGCCACAAGCUUCGACAACAUAGCAGCUUGGAUUUUGCCGAUGAACUUUGCUGGGGAAAAUUGUAAGCCUCGCACCGAUCUAGUCCAGCGCAAUCUCUGGAGAGCAGCGUCCACUGAAACCAUCUUCAUGGAGUCAUCGUUUCCGCAGGCGCCCCUCCACACACAGCUUCAUCUUCUUUGUUACAACAAGAAACAAGCAUAGGCACACCCAUUGGCACACCCGACUGUCAAAUUCAGAAGGGCCAACCACGACCUAGCUCCGCUCGCCACCAUUGUCGUCGCCACGAGUGCCAACACCAACUACUCGCAUCAUCAGCUGUGCACCAUCCAACCGUGAGAAUGUGCAUAUCCAACCCAGGAAAAGUGUGGAGGGGAACAAAUCUUCAAGACGGCGCCCUAAGUGGGGAGCGAUGCAGAAAUAACAAUGUUGUCCGACCCUGCAACAGGGACCUUAGGCUUUUACUGAAGACAUCCCAAGGGUGACCAAGAUGGAAGAGCUGCACGGCGACCCUCCAAGAAGGAAUAACGACACUAGCAACCGCCACAUCAUCAUUGAUGGCAUAAUCCAGGCAAGCCUUUGCCCCGGAGGAACAAACGUGCACAUACACCCCCACUAGACAAAAUACUGCCUUACCUAUAGACAAAUCAGUUCUUUUUUGGGCGAGAUAAGCCCAAAGUAAUCUGUGCAAAUAUUCUCUGUAAAUUCAAAAUCUAUGUGUAUUAUAUGUAGUUAAUCAACAUUUUACCGCCCAAAUUAGAAUCCUAGCCACUUUAUACCUCGAACUUUCAUUAAAUGUGUCUAGACUUACGUAUUGAGUGCACCAUGCAUGCUGCCAAGCCAACCCGCGUUGAAUCGCGCCAUAAAUUUCCUUAAGUUUAAAUUUCCGCUAGGAUUUACCUUGUAAAUAAGUUUCCACCGUUCUUACUAGCACAAAUUUAAAGCUUUGGGGUAAAUCCUUUCUGCAUAAUCCCUGUAAAAAAUGAUAAAAGUAAAGGUACAAAGUAGAAAUUUUAAUAUAUAUCAUCACACAAUCAUAGUACAACCAGCACACACAUACAAUUAUCAUCCAUACAAGCCAGAAAAGUAAGUCAGAACAAUCACAAGAUUUACAUGGGCAUCAUACCCUAAUCUUGAUUGAUCUUGACAUUAUAUAGCACAGAAUGACUUGAUGGUGGUGGGUUACAACACACCACUUAUUUAAUCCAGCAGGCAAUAUAAGUCACGAGUAUACUAUAUCUGGCGCGGUUGAUGUACUCGAACAUCUCAUCCCAGCGGCUCCUCUUGGAUGUGUGCUUCCACAUUUUCCUUUUCCGCUUGUGUCCCAAGUGGUGGUUUUGGUUGUGCAUUCGGGUCCGGCAGUCCAGGCAGUGGUUGUGGGUUUGGGUCUGGUAAUGGUUGUGGGUUUGGAUCAGGCUGCGGUCCUGGUAAUGGCUGAGGGUUUGGGUUUGGUUGUGGGUCCGGCAAUGGUUUUGGGUUUGGGUCUGGUAAUGGUUGUGGGUUUGGAUCAGGCUGAGGUCCUGGUAAUGGUUGAGGGUUUGGGUUUGGCUGUGGGUUNNNNNNNNNNNNNNNNNNNNNNNNNNNNNNNNNNNNNNNNNNNNNNNNNNNNNNNNNNNNNNNNNNNNNNNNNNNNNNNNNNNNNNNNNNNNNNNNNNNNNNNNNNNNNNNNNNNNNNNNNNNNNNNNNNNNNNNNNNNNNNNNNNNNNNNNNNNNNNNNNNNNNNNNNNNNNNNNNNNNNNNNNNNNNNNNNNNNNNNNNNNNNNNNNNNNNNNNNNNNNNNNNNNNNNNNNNNNNNNNNNNNNNNNNNNNNNNNNNNNNNNNNNNNNNNNNNNNNNNNNNNNNNNNNNNNNNNNNNNNNNNNNNNNNNNNNNNNNNNNNNNNNNNNNNNNNNNNNNNNNNNNNNNNNNNNNNNNNNNNNGGCAAUGGUUUCGGGUUUGGGUCUGGAAAUGGUUGUGGGUUUGGAUCAGGCUGCGGUCCUGGUAAUGGCUGAGGGUUUGGGUUUGGUUGUGGGUCCGGCAAUGGUUUUGUGUUUGGGUCUGGUAAUGGUUGUGGAUUUGGAUCAGGCUGCGGUCCUGGUAAUGGACGAGGGUUUGGGUUUGGCCGUGGGUCUGGUAGUAGCUGCGGGUUUGGGUUUGGCCAUGGGUUCAUCAACCGUUGCAGGUUUUGGCCUGGCAAUGGUUGUGGAUUUGGGUCAGGGUGUGGUCCUGGUAAUGGUUGAGCAUUUGGAUCAGGUUGUGGCUCAGGCAGUGGUUGUGGGUUUGGAUUAGGUUUAGGAUCGGGUAGUGGUUGCGGGUUUGGGUCUGGUCGUGGUCCUGGCAGUGGUUGUGG